rnacentral:lncRNA from 1 species
UCAUGUUUGCCCAAUUCUCGGAGCUAGUGAACGACUUCUACAACAAUGGUCUGCCUUCCAACCUCUCUGGUGGACGCAACCCGAGCUUGGACUAUGGCUUCAAGGGUGCCGAGAUUGCCAUGGCAUCGUACUGCUCUGAGCUUCAAUUCUUGGGGAACCCUGUGACCAACCAUGUCCAGAGCGCGGAGCAACACAACCAAGAUGUGAACUCUCUCGGUCUCAUCUCCUCCAGGAAGACUGCCGAGGCUAUUGACAUAUUGAAGCUCAUGUCCUCGACAUUCUUGGUUGCGUUGUGUCAAGCUAUCGACCUCCGUCACCUUGAGGAGAAUGUCAAGAAUGCUGUCAAGAGUUGUGUGAAGACAGUGGCUAGGAAGACACUGAGCACCAACAGCAAUGGCCAUCUGCAUAGCGCACGCUUCUGCGAGAAGGACCUUCUUCUCACAAUCGACCGUGAGGCGGUGUUCGCCUACGCAGACGACCCUUGCAGCGCCAACUACCCACUCAUGCAGAAGAUGCGUGCUGUUCUUGUGGAGCACGCCUUGGCCAAUGGUGAGGCCGAGCACGACGUGGAGACGUCAGUGUUUGCCAAGCUUGCCACGUUCGAGCAGGAGCUCCGUGCAGUGCUGCCAAAGGAGGUGGAGGCCGCCAGGAGCGCCGUGGAGAAUGGCACUGCAGCACAGCAAAACCGUAUCUCCGAAUGUCGGUCGUACCCGCUCUACCGGUUCGUGCGCAAGGAGCUUGGAACGGAGUACUUGACUGGGGAGAAGACGCGGUCUCCUGGGGAAGAGGUGGACAAGGUGUUCGUUGCCAUGAACCAAGGCAAGCACAUCGACGCGCUCCUUGAAUGCCUGAAGGAGUGGAAUGGUGAGCCCCUGCCUAUCUGCUGAACAGAGGAUCCAGAAAUGGAAGAGUAGCGUGCUUCAAAUUUCAGAAGGCUCCAGUGAUGAUACUGUUUUUUUGUUGUAAUCUCUACAAGUUGAUGUUUGCGACGUUCUUCCAGAGCUUCCAGUGCAUUGCUAAAGAUUGCAAUUGCAUGACCUGGUAGUGUUGGGUAGCCAGUAGAACUUUUAUGAUGUAAGUUAAAAGGGUACUGUGUGAUAAGUUUUCAUGAUAAAUAUACUGGUUCCAGAAAGUAAAACUCAUGCCAUCCAGAGCUGCCAGUGGUAACUCCCGUACUUGCUAGUUCCAUAAAAAAUAUACGAGGCCUUCUCUGAAUGUUCAAUCUUGCAUCUAGUAGAUGCAGUUUCAGUACUCUGCUUACCAAGUUCAGUGUAGACUUUAGUGGAAGCACAUACAAUGACUAACACUGCAUUAUUCACCUAUCGUACCACAGUAUACCUGUUCAUCCAAUCUUCCGAUUAUUAAAGUGUAUAAGAUACAAGAUGAAAUGUCACAUGAAUGAAGAUCACCACCAAAGCUAUCGUCAGUUUACUAGUCGUCUCAGUUCUCAAGAUUUCCAUAACCAAUGCACAUACACAUGAAGUUUCUCUGCUCUUCUGAAAAACGCUCUGUUUUUCAGUUCUAGUCAUACCUCUGCAUGUGGCGCGUAUCUGUAUUCUACUCCCUUUGGUAUUCUUUAAUGUGCACAUAUCAGAAGCUCUGCGCGUACACCGAUUCUCCACGAGACGUGUAUGCAUGCCCCUCUGAACCGGCCACCAUAUCAUGCCAACUAACGCGUUCGUGUUGGAUGAAAUGAACAUGUCAAGCAGCUGUGUCCUCAUCUCGAACUCAAUAGGAGAAACAGAAAGCAGUCAAGUAGUCGUCUUCAAACGCGAUAGCGUAUCCGAGUUCAGAGUAGAGUCGCUAGAGUAUACAUAAUUAAAUAUGCUAGAUGCUCUCCCCGCAAAUCGCUCAAACAAUGAGACCUGACCAUUGUGCUGUUGACCUGUUGUUAUUUGAUGCUUGUGCUUUCUAGAGAACUGGCUUCAGCCAAGCUUUGUUAUAAGCUCAUAGUUCAGAACAGGCUUCCUGUUUUACAUAACAGGCUUACAGAAGCAGCAGCGUCAUUGGUUUUGAUGCACUUACUGAAGUAUUAUGUUUUGUCUUCAAGACGCCCCGAUCAUUAUUACUAGCUCACAGUGAAUUACUCCCUCCGUUUCUAAAUAUAAGUCUUUUAAGAGAUUUCACUAAUGGUCUACAUACAAAGCAAAAUGAAUGGAUUAUAUCUAAAAUAUAUUUAUAUACAUCCAUAUUAAUUUUCUAAUGAAACCUUUAAAAAGGCUUAUAUUUAGAAACGUAGGGAGUAGAAGACAAGUAUACAAGCACCAACAGCACAAGAGAAAGCAGCGGCGUCGUUGGUUGAUUUCCUGAAGCACUUGUUGUAGACCGAAGACCACCCAAUUAUCAAGCCUGAAAGUGUCUCUGAAGAUGAACAAGUGGUGCCUGCCGAUUCAGUUAUCGAACGGGUGAGACAAAAGAUGAUGGACGGUCCAGAUGCACGUAGAAUGAUUACCUUUACUCUUAUCGAACUAGUUAUCCUUUAAACAUUAAUUGCUACAGUACCCUACGUUAUCAUUCUGCUCAUUUCUGUCAUCCCAAAACAUAAACCCUUGCUUACCUACUACGCGUACACUGUAUAUGGCUGGAUUCUUAAACGAAAUGGAUUAUAGCAGCCGAUUUGGCUGAUAAAUUUUUCAUAUAUUUAAUGCUAGCAUCUCGUAUUGCCAUAAGUUUCCCCUUCCAUCCUUUUGGUCGCUCCCAUAUUAACACGACUCGGGCGACUCCAAGCCCUAGCCCGUCACACGCUUUUCUCCCCCUCCCCCUCCACCUCGUCGCCUCUCGUGAUGGCCACCGGCUCGUCGUGUAACCGUCGGUGAAGGGGGCGGCGAGGAUCUGUCCCAUUCGUUCCUACUAGUGAGGAAAGGCAUGGUUCGGAGGUGGCGCCAUCGAUGGUGUGGGGGGCGUCCCUCUAACGAUGGGGCGUGCUUGCCGGUGCGGUCGACCGGGCCCCUUGGUUGCACGGGAAUCGAGGCCCCGGUGGUUGAAUCUCGCGGCGUUCAACAAGUUUUUUGAAUUCAUAGGUUUCAAAUUCAGCGAUACUAUUUAGAACUAGCACGUGUCUUCCCACACAUAGUGCCCCUUGAGCUUCAUUCAACAAUGUAUGUGUGUGAAUGGCCUGCCUUGGGUCCUAUGGUACAUCUCGACAGUACAUGAAGUCUAUACAACAUGUAGAGCAAAAAUUGAGUGAAAGAAUGAAUCAAGCAGAAUAACAUGAGACGAAACUUAAGAUCUUCAUAGUUGAGUACGGCCAGAGUGUCUCCACUCAUGCAAACACACCACAAAACUUCAUGACACAGUUGCAGAUGGUAUACCAUCGAUGUGACAUCCACUUUAUGUUGCGUCCAUGAAUGACGUGCAUGUUGUAGAGUGUGAAGUUCUUUCGUGCAUGAAAUAAAGCAUGCACGCGCGCUCGACUUCCUGCCCAGAAAGCCCGCAGAUAUGGUCAACCACUCAUCGCACAACAACUCAUCCAUGAUCAUUGAGUAUCCCACCAUCAUGCAUUACUCUAGAAAACAACAAGAAGUUCAACAAAAAAGUUCAAUGACAUUUGACCGAAUACUUGUCGGGCGUGGUGUGCGCCAUGGACGUCGUCGGUAGGGGGGCAAAGGGUACCUGGGUGGAUGGAGGCGUAGCCCAUGGAGGUUAGACGCAUUAGUGGACGCUGAGGACGUCAAUAGGAGAGGCAAAGCAGCAACGGUCCACGAGGAUGCAAAGCAAGGGUGGCAUGGGUGGAGUGAAAGUAAAGUGGACCGAGACAGGGAUUUGAGUUGGCCGAGGGUGUUGGAGUCCUAGAUGGCAACGGUACAGACUCCUCCAAAGCCCCCUCCCCUAGUUCUCUUCUAAUCUGCGGGAAACUGAUGUCUCGGUUGGUCCACGGUCAGAUGGGGUACCACGUUGAAUGCAAAAAAUGGAUCUAGACCACUUGGUUCAGAUAGAUGCAGGUGAUUUGAGAGUCUAAUGGGAGAUGAACAUUGGUGGGACCAUGAAGAAGCUUGGCCUCCAAUAAGAGAACGUUAGGGCAUCUCCAAUGCCAAUGCUCAAACAGGCCGCAUACGUCUGGAGCGUAGAAGCCAUCCAAUGUGGGCAUGUAUCGGUCUGCCAAGCCGUGUGAAUCUGCUUUUUCAGCAAACUGGAUACAAACUAGGGGGCUUAGCACGUCUUCGGACUGCCGCCACGCCCGCUCUCGACUGCCCUAGCCUCCAAAAAACUCCUCCCUCGCCCACGUGCUUCCCGCCCAAAACGGUAAUUGGCGCUCCUGAGCGUCGGUGGUCGCAUUCAUGCCCAACUAGAGUGGAUGCGACCUCUCACUAGCGGUGGCAUUAAAGCAGCGCACCGGUCGAGAGAGCCUCACCCAUGCCUCUUCCCCGUGCACGUGCCAGCCCCAUAUUCAAGCGAUAACAUGACCACCCGUCCAUCCCUCUGUCACCCAUAUUAAUUACACACAGUUGCCAAGAAACCUACUCCGACGACACUCGUUCGUCCGUCUAUUGUUCACCAUUGCCAUUCGCCCCGUUAUAUGUACUCCAGCUUCGGCCAUAGCCAACACUCAUCCUCCUUCGGACCAUUUCUCCCCUCUGCACCAUUCCCACUAUGGUCUCCUCACGCUCCAAAGAUCUCUAGGAUGGGCUCACACUGGAGCAGAAGAAGGAGAUGGCCGCCAUUGCUACUGGUUGGCAGGCCGAGAUGCAUCCAGAGUCUGAUGACCUCCCAACGGAGAAUCCGACCCAAAGUUGCCAGAAUGGUGAUUCAAGUAUUAGAAUCUUACGAUCUUAUGAUCCAAACUAGCCCCUCCGAUUUUACGAUUUUGUUCAUAGAAUCUAAGUUUCUACGAUCCUGAUAGUUACGAUUAUACGAUUCACGAUCCUAGCAACGGAGCUCCGAUCCGAUUCAGAAUCGUAAUUCUGAUAUCUUUGAUCCGAACGAUGACGGCCUGACGCCACCCUCCUCGACGGCGCCUUCCUCGUCGGUGCAUUGCACCAUGAACAUCGGCGAGGCCCAUGCCCAUUACAUGGACAUGGUGAGGGAUGAGCGGGAGCAUCAGUUCCGGGAGGUUCAGGCUGACACGGCCUAGAACCUUCAUCUCUUCGAGGAGCACUUAUAGGCGGAGGAGGAGCUUGACGACGGUAGGGCGAUCCCAUCGGACGCGGACGUGACACAUCAGGCGGUGCUGCUCGAGUCCUACCGCUCUGCCUGUGAGAUCCACCUUAAUCGCUGGUGGUACCGCCAUUGUUAGGCGGAAAUAGGACCCCCUACAAGGAGUUCGACAAAGCGGCAGAUGAGGUGUGGGGCAAGAGCGACAAGGAGGAGGACAUCGUUGGCUCAGCCAAGGCUACUCUCCGCCACGACGACCACGUAGUCGGCAUGUCCGCGGGCGCCGUCGGCAGAGGAAGAGUAGUGCGUGAUAGGUUGUCGUCGCUUAAGUCCCAAGAAGGCCACCGCUCUUCCCCUCUGCCCGAAGCCAAGUUUGGCAGGCUGAUAAUCGUCGGCCGACUAGCCACUCAAGUUGCAUGGCGGAGGCUGCGUGGAAUGAGAUGGAGCAGGCGAAGGCGAGUGUCGGAGCAUCAAUUCUCGGGGCUUAUGGCAGCCCGGUGGGGAAAGGGUGACACGACCAUUUAGAUUAGGAAUUAUACCUUCAAAGACGGACGAGUUUCGUUUUUAGUUGAAGUAUGUCCAAAAUAUGAUGAAUUUUGUCUGUUUAUAUGAAAUCCGUCAAGUUUGCAUGAAUCUCUUCAGGUUUGCGCGGAUUUCGUUUGAUUAGUUCAAUUUGUUGUGAAAAUGUAUGCGGAUAAUGUUGGAUGAUGGUCUCCGACAUUAAUAUUAUUCGUGGACUUGUCCCCUUGUCGACAAACGAAUGCAGGAUGAAAUUUACGGGUCGGCAUGGAAGGCACCCUUACAAACUAGUCAUGUUAUGAAAUUUAUGGAUCGGUAUGGGAGGCGCCCUUACAAGCUAGCCAUGUUGCCCGAAAUAGAGUAGACGAACAAAAUUUUGAAGAACAAGGACCCGGACCCAUAUUCCACAUUUCUGACAAGGGAAAACAAAUGUACGACUGUCAUCGAAAUCCUUGCCACUUCCGAGGAAGAGCAUUUCCACUAAAAACGCGAGCUAAAUGUUUGCUCGAUAAUAAUCAAAGUCUUGCACCACACAAUUGCGGAAACAAAAAUCCAACCGGAAACAGAAGGAAACAUCAAAGUCUUGCUCUACUAAGACUUCCUUGGCAUCUUUAGGCCGGAUCCGCUCUAAGUUCAAAUAAAACCACGUGGUCUGGACAGUUUAAGAGUCUGAGUUAAAGAUGCUCUUCUACAACAGCAGCUAGACACGUCCUUAUAGUUGACAGAAUUCUUGAACAUAUUCCGUAGUCUUCCCGUCACGCAGUUGUUCGUUCAUGGCAUACUGAUGAAUUGGUAAAAAUACGUCUAUGCUACAAUAAUGUCUUUCAAUCUUUGACCGAUGUGAGUAAGUCCAUGGUCAACAACUUGAACGGCGAUGGUUUGGUGGUGGAGUUGUUGGCGAUCAUAUGUCAAGUCAAAUAUUAACAUCCUCCCAAAACAGGUCAAAACGUCAACACAGAUCAGGUCGAAAUUAGGCAUGCUCUCAUCUUAGCAUGGGCGUUGAUGUUCAUCUUAGCUAGCUCUCAUCUUUACCUCCUUGAUUGGCAUGGACACCGGUUAUGGCUGUAGAAAGGUUAAAAAAAAGUACAAAAAAUAGGUAUAAAAUCUAAAGUUUAUAACUGAAGAUCACUGAACAUCUAGCUGUAAUAAUUUUGAGGAAUUUUCACGGUUUUUUUUCUGGUAAAUGAUACACACCGGACGACCGACCAAGUGAUCGAACUGGUCGCUUGGCCAACUGAUUGCACCGGUGACGCUUAGAGCAUCUCUAGCACACCCCGUAUAAAGUCGAUCCAUAAAAAUCGUUUACAACUCGUGAAAAAAGGAUUUUACAGGACGACGCAGGCGCGGACACAGUCAGACCCCGUAAAACGGACCCGUAAAAAAGAUAUUCAUAAAAGAUGUUUUUUUACGGAUCGGCAAUGUCGGGUCUGCUCGGACACCGCUGCGCCGACCCGCAAACCGGAAAACCUCCCAAUAAGCGAAUUUGACAGCGAUUCCGACAAAUGAGUUCGAAUUAAACAAUAAAACAUAGUUCGCGCGCGAAGUGAAAGCAUAGUUUAAAAGACAAACACAAAACGACUUCAUGCAUCCUGCUCGCUCUUCACUCCGCACCAUCGAGGUCAUCGCCGCCCCGGAAUACAUCGACUCCUCCGAAUCAAUCGCGAGCACUUGUUCCAACUCCGACACCAAAAUCAUCGGAGAUAUUGGUUCCGAUUCCCGAUCAGAAAACAUCGCCGCCAUUGUAACACGCAAGCAUCCUCGUCUUCAAGAUUUCUCUCCUUGUCAUAUCAUGUCAUUCUUUGCUGAUGUCGUCCAUGUUAUUGCGGUUCAAAGUCAUGAUCCUAUUCUCUUCGGCGAGAAGGUUGGCCAUGGUUUUGUACUCAGCGGCACAUGCUCUUCUCUCCUCAACGUCCUUGAGCAAUUUCCACCUCUCUUGCUUCUCUCGUGCCUUCUUCUCGGUCAACUCUAUCUUUGCCUCCAAAGACUUUGCUAGCAACACCUCAUCUAAUUGCACCAUGGCACUACCUUAUCCCGCAAGCUCGAUGCUUCGUGUCCCCUUUUGAUCUUCUCAUUUGUCUUCUUGUCACCAUCGGACUUGUUCAAGUUUCUUGGGCCAUCAUCAUCUUCAUAUUCAUCCAUGUUCAUAAGUGAACCUCUCUUCGGUGGGGAUUCUCUGUCAAUCAACUUCCACUUGUCGCAGUCUUUGACCAUUUCCCAACAAUGCUCUAGUUUAAAUUUUUUGCCUUCGGAAGCUUCCAUGUGCUUUGUACCGGUGUAGGGCAAUUUUUUCCUACACAAUUAGAACAAAGUCAACUGAUGGAACCAUUUUAAAUGAUGCAAAUGGUGUGCACAACUUGGGACGUGAAAACGAACUCACAUAGUAGGAUUCCACGGUUCCACUUGGAGAAACAUUGCAAACUUGUUCCAAGCAAGCUGCCCAACGGCUACAAGUCGGCUUGAUAAUGUCCCAACGACCUUUGAAUGACCGAAAGGUCCGUCCUAUCCUAUUGGGAUAGUUGGUCAUGAAUUGACAACCUCUAUAUACUCGUUGGGAGCAAAGUUAUUUGUGUGUGUGCAGGUCCACGUCUUCUGCUGACCAGGACAGGAGACACCUACUUGUUGGUCCUAGGAGUCCUACUGGUUUGAUAAACCUUACAGUCUUCGUGUAAGGGAAAACUUGCUGCUGACUACAUCAAAACCUUCCACUUGGGGUAACCAACGAGGAGUGAGAAGUAUAUACAUCAUCUCGUCAUCAAGCAAAGUUUUCUGACGCCGUUGCCGGGGACUCCGGUCUUCAAGAUAGGGGAGUUGCACGCUAUCCUUUACCUUUGCUUUUUAUUCUUGUUAGUUUUCUUUUUAGUUUUUGCUUUAGAGUCUUAUACCAAAAACUAGAAAAAAAAUAGUUGCUUUGUUCUUGCUUGUUGCUGUUGCUAUGGGUUUCACUGAGAACACCAUGUUGGGUGACUUCACUAGUCACAACAACAAUGAUUAUACCUUCUCUUCUAUUGCUGCAGUUACCACUAAGGGUCUUUUUACAAGUAAACCUUGUGACUAUACUAGUCAUUGUGGAGAAUUAUGCCCUUGGCAUGGUUGCCUCGGGAAGCCACAGGAUCUUUGGUUUGAAGUUGCUCCUAAACGUCCCCAAACUUGGGAAGACGUCCAAACUCUUAUAAUAGAGAGCAAAUCAAAUGUAGAGGAUAACAUUACAAUUUUACUUAAUAGCAAUGAUAUUGAUUUUGACAAUUGUAGUCUUUCCGAAGUCAUCACCUUUUUGCAAAGAAUGGAUAAAGACCCCCACACUAGCACACUUAAUAUGGCCUUCACUGAGCAUAUUACAAAUGCUCUUAUCAAAGCUAGGGAGGAGAAGCUCAAGCUAGAGACUUCUAUUCCUAGAAAACUAAAAGAUGGUUGGGAUCCUAUGGUCAAAAUAAAAUUGAAUAAUAUCUCUUGCUUUGCAUUGUGUGAUGUUGGAGCUAGUGCCUCCGUUAUGCCCAAAAGAAUGUAUGAUAUGCUUGACUGGAAACCUUAUGAUCCAUGUUCUUUUGGUGUUCGUCUUGUUGAUUAUUCCAUAAAGAAACCAAUAGGGAGAAUUGAUGAUGUUCUUAUUAUUGUCAAUGAUAAUUAUGUGCCCGUUGAUUUUCUUAUUAUGGACAUUGAAUGUGAUCCUUCAUGUCCAAUUAUUUUGGGACGUCCUUUUCUCCGCACCGUUGGUGCUAUCAUUGACAUGAAAGAGGGAAUCAUUAAAUUCCAAUUCCCCCUUAAAAAGGGAAUGGAACACUUCCCUAGAAAGAAGAUUAAGUUACCUUAUGAGUCCGUUACUCGGGCAAGUUAUUCUUUUAAAGUUGAUAAUACUUGAUCUUCUUGCAUUAUGCCUAGCUCAAAGGCAUAAAACAAAAACGCUUGCUGGGAGGCAACCCAAUUUGUUUUUACUUUCAGUUUUAGUGGUCUUGAUGCUUGUUAUUACUGUAGCAACAUCAUUGUAUCUUUAUUUUUAAGCUUUGUGCCAAGUUAUAGCCUCCGAUUGCAUGAAAGUUCAAAAAUUGUGACAUGCUGUCUAGAAACAGAGUCUGUCUGCUUGAUGGAACAAUUCGUCAAAAAUCACCAGAUCAUCUUUUUGAUCUGAAUUGUUUUGACACCAUGAUCUAUAUAAUUUCCUUUAUGUCAUAUGUUUUCAGUUUUUUGAUUUGAUUGCAGAAGUGUCCCGAAUAAAUUAUUUACUACCUGAUGUUCCGUUUUUCACAGAUUCUACCAUGUUUUGGGUUUUCAUUGUUUUGCAAAUCUCAAGCUUACUUUUUAUUUGCAAAAACCUUUUGGCAAUCAUGAGAAGUAGUAUAUUUUCAUGAAAAUCUUUAUUUCCAGCAGGUAAUGAAUUAUUUUAUUAAGGGUACUAACCACUCUAAUUAGCUUAUGAUGAGUUUCGUAUGAAGGGAGUUUUCAAGUAUGCGAUGGGAGAUGGUGAAAGAGGAUACAGGAGUAUCAAGUGCUCAAGCUUGGGGAUGACCCCAUGCACCCCAAGAAAUAUUCAAGGAGGCUCAAGCGUCUAAGCUUGGGGAUGCCCCCAUGCAUCCCCUUCUCUAUCAACAAUCAUUAGUUCGUCCAUCUCCAUGCUAUAUUUUUAUCACUUCAUAUGUUAUGUGCUAUGCUUGGGGGAGUACGUGUUCUCACCGACUUUACAUUCUUGCUUAUGCUUUCACUUUGUUAGCCGGUGUUCACACUUUGCCACUGUAUCAUCCAUGCUAGUUUAUUUUCUUUUUCUCAUUUUCUUUUCAUGUGUCUGCCUAGUUUGAGAAAAAAUCAAAAAUAUUUUCUUUUCUUCUUUUUCUUGUUGGGAGCUUUCCCGUGUAGAUAGUUUUCUUUUUCUUUGGGUCAAGGUAGAAGAUAUUGGUUACAAGGUUUAGUGGCUCUUGCAUGCAUACCUGUAUAGCUUUCAAAGAGCCAUAUUACUUUGUCUUCUCCUUUGUGUUUGCCUGCAGAUUCUAGCUUUAGUCCAAUGCACGAGCACGCUUAUUAUUGUUCACAUCGUUCGGUCGUGCAAGUGAAAGGCAAUAAUGACGAUAUAUGAUGAAGUGACUGAGCCUGGAAAAGCUGGUAUGAACUUGAUCUAUUUUGUUUUUGUAAAUAUGACUAGCUCAUCAUACCUGAUUUAGCUUUGUUGUGAGAGAAACAUGUUUGCAAUGACAACUUAGAUAUCAUAGUUGCUUAUGCCAUGCUUACUUAACUAGGAGCUUAUAAUGGUUUGUCUUGGUUGCCAACAUGAAUGUUGAGAUGACUAUGAUGUAGUAUGAUAGGAUGGUAUCCUCCUUUGAAUGUUUCAAGUGGCUUGACUUCGCGCAUGUUCACGCGGGUAGUUGAAACAAAAUCAACAUAGCCUCUAUGAUGUUCAUGUUCAUGGUGAUUUGUGUCCUACUCAUGCUUGCACUCAAUAUUAGUUACUCUCAAUGCAUUUUGAUGAUUGUUGUCGCUCUCUAGUUGGUCGCUUUCCAGUCUUUUGCUAGCCUUCACUUGUACUAAGCGGGAAUACUGCUUGUGCAUCCACUCCCAUAAACCCAAAGUUGUGUCAUAUGAGUCCACCAUACCUACCUAUGUGCGGUAUCUACCUGCCGUUCCAAGUAAAUUUGCAUGUGCCACUCUCUAAAUCCUCAAGAAAUAAUCUGUUUUGCAUGUCCGAACCGCUCAUGUGGUGACAAGUGGCUAUUGGUAUCUUCCAUGCUAGGCGUGUUAUCCUCGAUAUGUGUUUAUUCACUAUCAUUCACGAGAAAGGGGACGGUAAUUGGAAUUCCCAGUUCCAUGCUCAAAUCGAAAAGAUAAAUGCAACAAAAAGUCCCCUAGGAUUGAUGUUGGUUUGGACGGUACCCGAGGAUUCGGCUAGCCGUGGAGUGUGAUUGAUUGGUGGUGGGGGAGUCAAAACUUUACUUUUCUGUUUGGGAACCGCCUAUAGCAUGUGUAGCGUGGAAGAUGUUGAGAACUCUUAGUCAUUGCGUUGACAAUGAAAGCAUGCCACCCAAAAUUAUUAUCUCUCUUUUCAAAGCUUGAGCUCUGGCACCUCUGCAAAUCAAUGCUUCCCUCUAUGAAGGGCCUGUCUAUUUAUGUUCCUGUUGAGUCAUCCUCCUCUUACAAAAGCACCAAUUAGAGAGCACCUCUGUCAUUUUUAUGCUUUGCUUUUAACUGUGUUGAGUAUGACUAUGACUGGAUCUUCAUUGCCUUGAAUUACAAUGUUUAGUCAGCCCUUGGUCUUUUAAGGUGCUGUGCAAUUAUGUUUUGCGGUCUCAGAAAGAGCUAGCGAGAUACCAUCUAUUCGUACUGCUUCAUGUUGUUUUGAUUGAAGUGUUGACACUUGAGGCUUAUUAUUAUUCGCUCGCUAGUUGAUUAUGCCAGUGAUAUCAGUUUACCGUGAGACCUAGUUGUCAUUUUCUUAUGUGGUUUGCUUGUGAUGUUGGUGAAAUUCUGGUUAUGAGUUAGACAUAGUUGCAACAACAAGAUCAAACAGAGUUCGUCAAAGUUUUUCUUUUGUCUCUCUGAGUUUAUCAACUGAGUUGCUUGAGGACAAGCAUGGCUUUAAGCUUGGGGGAGUUGAUACGUCUCCGUCGUAUCUACUUUUCCGAACUCUUUUGCCCUUGUUUUGGACUCUAAUUUGCAUGAUUUGAAUGGAACUAACCCGGACUGACGCUAUUUUCAGCAGAAUUGCCAUGGUGUUGUUUUUGUGCACAAAUGAAAGUUCUCGGAACGUCCUGAAAAUUUACGGAGAUUUUUUCUGGAAUAAAAGAAAAAUACCUGCGCAAAGUUCCACGUGAGGGGGUGUGCCAGUGGGCCACAAGCCCCUGGGCCGCGACCACCCCCUAUGGCCGCGCCAUGAGGGCUUGUGGGGCCCACGUGGCACCACUGGCCCCAAUCUCAGUCCUAUAUAUUCCGUUUCGCCUGGAAAAAAAUAAGAGAGAAGGUUUCAUCGUGUUUUGCGAUACAGAGGCGCCGCCACAUCCUGUUCUUCAUCUGGAGGGCACAUCUGGAGUCCGUUUCGGGCUCCGGAGAGGGGAAAUCGUCGCCAUCGUCAUCAUCAACCUUUCUCCAUCGACAAUUCCAUGAUGCUCUUCAUCGUUCGUGAGUAAUCUCAUCGUAGGCUUGCUGGACGGUGAUGAGUGGGAUGAGAUCUAUCAUGUAAUCGAGUUAGUUCUUGACGGGGAUUGAUCCCUAGUAUCCACUAUGUUCUAGAUUGAUGUUCCUACUACUUGGCUAUGCUUAAUGCUUGUCACUAGGGCCCGAGUGCCAUGAUUUCAGAUCUGAACCUAUUAUGUUGUCGCCAAUAUAUGUGUGUUUUUGAUCCUAUCUUGCAAGUUGUAGUCACCUACUAUGUAUUUUGACCCGGCAACCCCCGAGUGACAAUAGUCGGAACCACUCCCGGAGAUGACCAUAGUAUGAGGAGUUCAUGUAUUCACCGCGUGUUAAUGCGUUGGUCCGGUUCUUUAUUAAAAGGAGAACCUUAAUAUCCCGUAGUUUCCAUUAGGACCCCACUGUCACGGGAGGGAUGGACAAUAGAUGUCAUGCAAGUUCUUUUCCCUAAGCACGUAUGACUACAUACGGAAUACAUGCCUACAUUAGAUCGACGAACGGGAGCUAGUUACAUAUCUCUCCGUGUUAUAGAUGUUACAUGAUGAAUCACAUCCGUCACACUCAUCCAUCACCGAUCCACUGCCUACGAGUCUCUUACUACUGGUUCUCGCUACGUUACUUUGCCUAGGCUUGUCCCUUGCUACAAGAGGGAUUGGGCCACUUUGUUGCUGCUAUCACUUUGCUGCUGUUGCUACUGCUGUUACUUGUUACUUUGCUGCUGCUGCUACUACUAUUCCUUGCUACUCUGCUGUUACUUGUUGCAAGACUUUGUUGGCACUAACAUCCAAUCAACAGGGCCUUUUCUGGUGCUGUUGCUGGAAAUUGUCAAAGCUUUUACUGGCGCCAUUGAUACAACAGUUAGGAAUAGUAUGCCUUGUCACCAGAUCGUUUCUGGCUCCGUUGUUAUCAUACUACCUUGCUACUGAUACUUUGCUUGCACACACUAAUUUUUCAGGUGUGGUUGAAUUGACGACUCAGCUGCUAAUACUUGAGAAUAUCCUUUAGCUUCCCCUUGUGAGAGAAUCAAUAAGUUUGGGUUGAAUACUCUACCCUCAAAAACUGCUGCAAUCCCAUACGCUUGUGGGACACCAAGGCUUUUUGUGGCACCGUUGCCGGGGAAGCACAGCUAUAUUCUCUAAGUCACUUGGGAUUGACGUCUGCUGAUCACUGAUGGCUACUGUGUAUCCCUUGCAACGGCGCCAGAAAUAGUUAUGUUGACGGCACCAAGAAUCCUUCAGCUGCGGCUACGCCUUAAGGGACUUCCUAGGCAAGUAUGCAAAGGAUUUCCCCCGUGGCCUUGGAGCCUUGCGUUGGUGUUCCCUCAAAGCGGAAAGGAUGAUGUAGCACAGCGACGGUAAGUAUUUCCCUCAGUUUGAGAACCAAGGUAUCAAUCCGGUGGAAGAGUAUCUCAAGAUCCUGCACAAACACAAAAAGCUUGCACCCAACGCUAUGAAGGGGUUGUCAAUCCCUUAUAGAUUGUUUGCCAAGUGAGAACUGAAAGCAACAAAGUAACAAAGCAAAGUAAAAGCGGAGUUGUAAACGAUGGAUGUGAAUAGACCCCGGGGCCGUAGUGUUUACUAGUGGCAUAUCUCAUAAAAGCAAGUAGACGGUGGGUGAACAAAUUACUGUCGAGCAAUUGAUAGAAUUGUGCAGAGUCGUGACGAUAUCUAUGCAAUGAUUAUUUCUAUAGGCAUCAUGUCGGAAACAAGUAGACCGAUACUUUCUGCAUCUACUACUAUUACUCGUCGACCGCUAUCCAGCAUGUAUCUAGUGUAUUAAGUCCAUCAGAACAGAGUAACGCCUUCAGCAAGAUGACAUGAUGUAGAGGGAUAAUCUCAAACCAAUGAUAAAACCCCCAUCCUUUUACCCUUGAUGGCAACUGCUUGAUGUGUGACUUGCUGCCCCUACUGUCACUGGGAAAGGUCACCACAUGGCAGAACCCAAAACCAAGCACUUCUCCCACUGCAAGAAUCAUAGAUCUAGUUGGCCAAACAAAACCCAAGACUCGGAGAGACUUACAAGGAUAUCAAAUCAUGCAUAUAAGAAAUCCGCAAAGACUCAAAUAUAUAUCAUAGAUAAUAUGAUCACAAGUCCAGAAUUCAUCGGAUCUCGACAAACACACAGCCAAAGAAGAUUACAUCGGAUAGAUCUCCAUGAAGAUCAUGGAGAACUUUGUAUUGAAGAUCCAAGAAAGAGAAGAAGCCAUCUAGCUACUAACUACGGAACCGUAGGUCUGAAAUGAACUACUCACGAGUCAUUGGAGGAGCGAUGAUGAUAAUGAAGAAGCCCUCCACCUCCAAAGUCCCCUCCGCCAGGGUGCCGGGAAGGGUCUCUAGAUGAGAUCUCGCGGAAACGGAAGCUUGCGGUGACGGAAAAGUAUUUUCGAGGCUCCCCCGAUUUUUUGCGGAAUAUUUGGGAAUAUAUAGGCGCAAGACCUAGGUCAGGGGGCGGCCAGGGAGGCCACAAGCCUGCCCACCGCCACCUCCCCUAGUGGCGGAGUGGGGGCUUGUGGGUUCCCUGGAGCCCACCUGGCUUGGCCCAAAUGCCCGUGGACUUCUUCCGUUCUGGAAAAAAAUAAUUUCGGGGUUUUUCUUCCGUUUGGACUCCGUUCCAAAAUCAGAUCUGAAAAGAGUCAAAAACACGGAAAAACAGGAACUGGCACUUGGCACUGAAUCAAUAAGUUAGUCCCAAAAAAGAUAUAAAAAGAUACAUAAAACAUACAAAGAAGGCAAGAUAACAGCGUGAAACCAUAAAAAAUUAUACAUACGUUUGAGACGUAUCAAGCAUCCCCAAGCUUAACACCUGCUCGUCUUCGAGUAGGGAAGUGAUAAGAAUGAAUUUUUCAUGCUUUCAUGCUACCUAACAUAGGUGUCCUUUGUAAUUCCUCUUAUGUGACGUGAAUGUUCAGAUCCAUUAAAUUCAAAACAAUAGUUUGCUAUUGACGUGGAAACAAUAAUAAUUCAAGCAAACUAGCAAAGUAAUCAUGAACUUUCAAAAUAACAAGGCCAAAAGAAAGUUAUCACUACAAAAGCAUAUAGUCUGGCUAUGCUCUAUCAUCAUUGCACAACGAAUUUAAAUCAUGCACAACCCCGGUAUUGGCCAAGUAAUUGUUUCACACCUUUACUUUCUCAAACAUUUUCAACUCUCACGCAGUACACGAGCUUGAGCCAUGGUUAUAGCACUAUAGAUGGUGUCGAAUGUGGUGGAGGUUGCAAAACAAAAAGGAGAAGAUAGUCACAUUAACUAGGCAUAUCAAUGAGCUGUGGAGAUGCUCAUCAAUAGAUAUCAAUGUGAAUGAGUAGGGAUUUCCAUACAAAUGAUGCACUAGAGCUACAAGUAUGUGAAAGCUCUUAAAGAAAACUAGUGGGUGUGCAUCCAACAUGCUUGCUCACGAAGACCUAAGGCAAUUCUGAGGAAGCCUAUAAUUGGAAUAUACAAGCCAAGUUAUAUAAUGAGAAUUUCCCACUAGCUAUAUGGUGGUGACAAAACGAGAGACUCUCAAUCAUGAAGAUCAUAGUGCUCAAAAUGCACAAGUGUGGAAAAAGUGGUAGCAUUGUCCCUUCUCUCUUUUUCUCUCAUUUUUUUUAUUUUGGUGGGCUCUUUGGCCUCUUUUUUAUGGGCUUCUUUGGCCUCUUUUAUUUCCUCACAUGGGACAAUGCUCCAAUAAUGAUGAUCAUCACACUUUCAACUCAAAACUUAGAUCAAUUAUGACUCUAUAUGGAAUGCCUUCGGUAGUGUACCGUGGCAAUGAUCUAGCAUGGCAUAGACAUCAAUGGAAACAUCAUGCUAGCUAUCUUAUGAUCAUGCAAAUGGCAAUGUAGACGUGGUGGCACAUAUCAUGAUGGUAGUUGCAUGGAAAUAUAUCUCGGAAUGACUUUGAAAAAGCCAUAAUAGGUAGGUAUGGUGGCUGUUUUGAGGGAGGCUAAUGGUGGGUUUUGUGCACCGACGAAAGUUGCACGGCACUAAGAAGAUAGUGAUGGUGGAAGGUGAAAGUGCAUCUAAACCAUGGACUCAACAUUAGUCAUGAAGAACUCAUAUACUUGUUGCAAAAGUUUUAUUAGUAAUCAAAACAAAGCAUUCAACGCAUACUCUUAGGGGAAGGGUUAGUAGGUAUACACCAUCGCGUGAUCUCGACCGCCACGCAAAGGAUGACAAUUAAUAUACUAAUCAUGCUCAGAUUUCAUCACAUAGCGGUUCACCAUACGUGCAUGCUACGGGAAUCACUAACUUCAACACAAGUAUUUCUAGAUCCACAACACCUUACUAGCAUGACUUCAAUAUUACCAUAACCACAACUCAAAGCUAAUUGAGAUGGAUCAAACUUCUCUAACUAUUCAAUGCACAUGAAGGUGGAAGUUUUCGUAUCCCUUUGGAUAACUACCCAUUUUGAGACUACUUUCAAAGCAUAUAUCAACUAACAAGCCAAGCACCGCUGUGCUCUAAAAGAUAUAAGUGAAGCACAUAGAGCAAAAAUAUCUAGCUCAAAAGAUAUAAGUGAAGCACAUGUGAGUUGAACUGUCUACCAAAAGAUAUAAGUGAAGCUCGACAAAAUCACGGUGUGUGCAUGUCUCUCUCUCUAGCUGUGCAGCAAGGAUGAUUGUGACACAACAAAAAUAAAAGACUCCUACGAUACAAGACACUCCAAGCGAAAACACAUAACAUGUGGUGAAUAAAAAUAUAGCCCCAAGUAACAUUAUCGAUGGAUUGAAGACGAGAGAGGGGAUGCCUUCCCGGGGCAUCCCCAAGCUUAGGCUUUUACGACAUCCUUGAAACUCUUGGGGUGCCUUGGGCAUCCCCAAGCUUGAGUUCUUGCCACUCUUUAUCUUUUUGUCCAUAAGAACUUCACCCAAAACUUGUAAACUUCACAACACGAAACUUAAACAGAAACUCGUGAUAACAUUAGUACAAGAAAGCAAACCACCACUUCCUUAGGUACUGUAGAAAACUUUAAAUUCUACUUGUGCUAAUGUUGUCUUACUGUACUUUCAAUCUUCCAUGGUUAAUACCCCCCGAUACUAUCCAUAGUUUCAUCAAAAUAAGCAACCAACACAACAAAAACAGAAUGUGUUAACAGCAGACCAGUCUGUAGAAAUCUGUAUGUUUCGUAUACCUCUGGUACUUCACAAAUUCUGAACAAUUAUGACAGUCUAAAGAAUUUUCGUAGCAAUCAGCGUAAAAAAGAAUAAACUCAAAAUCUCUUACAUAAAAAAAAUUAAAAUUCUUUUUGUGAGCAGAAAGUUUUUGUCUUUUCCAACAUGACCAAACGAUCAUCCCCAAGACUAAUCAUAACGGUUUUGCUUGGCACAAACGCAAAAAUAAACACAAAAAACACAAUCAUAACAGAAUUGUGAAAGUGUGGAAAACACAAAAUAGAAAGAAAAAGGAUAGAUUCAUUGGGUUGCCUCCCAACAAGCGCUUUUGUUUAACGCCCUUAGCUAGGCGAAAGUGAUGGAAUCACGUAUAGUCAUCUUUGGUGCUCAAACCAUAAGUAGCCCUCAUCAUAGAUUCAUAAGGAAAUCUUAUUUUAUUUCUAGGGAAGUGCUCCAUGUCCUUUUUUAAGGGAAAUUAAAAUCUAAUAUUCCCUUCCUUCAUAUCGAUGAUAGCACCAAUAGUCCUUAGGAAAGGUCUACCAAGAAUAAUGGGACAUGAAGGAUUGCAAUCUAUGUCAAGUACAAUGAAAUCCACAGGUACAUAAUUCUUAUUUGCAACAAUAAGAACAUCAUCGAUCCUUCCCAUAGGUUUCUUGACAGUAGAAUCCGCAAGAUGCAAAUUAAGAGAACACUCUUCAAUCUCAUGAAAACCAAGAAUAUCACAUAAAGACUUUGGAAUCGCGGAAACACUAGCACCCAAAUAACACAAAGCACUGCACUCAUAGUUUUUUAUCUUGAUUUUGAUAGUAGGUUCCCACUCAUCAUGAAGUUUUCUAGGUAUCGAGACUUCUAGUUCGAGCUUCUCUUCAAGAGAUUUCAUCAUAGCAUCUACGAUAUGCGCGGUAAAGGCUUUGCUUUGGCUAUAAGCAUGUGGAGAGUUUGCAAUGGAUUGCAUCAAAGAAAUGCAUUCAAACAAGGAGCAAUUAUCAUAAUUGAAUUCCUUGAAAUCCAAGGUCGGAGUUUCAUUACUACCCAAUAUUUUGACUUCUUCUACUCCACUCUCCACACCUUUAUCAUCAAGAUAGGUGGACUCCGAAUCAUUGGGGCAUUUUUCAACCAAAGUGGAUUCAUAUCCAGCCCCUCCAUAAAUAGGUUUGACACGCGAAAAAAAAGAUUCAAGAGGAGACACACCAAGCACUUUAAGAUCUUCGCGAUUUGCAUCACUAGAACACACCCUUUUAAACCAUUCAUGUCUAGCGCGAAUUUGGGUUUUUCUUUCUUUGCUCUCAUUCAUGGAGAUACGCAUAGCUUUCAAAGUUUCAUCCAAUUUGAUCUUGGGAGGAGCGCAUCUAACUUUCAAAGCAUCAAUAUCACAAGACAUGCUAUCAACGCUCUUAGCCAAAUCGUCUAUUUUGAGUAAUUUUUCCUCUAUGGACGCAUUGAAAAUCUUUUGAGAGUUGAUGAACUCCUUGAUAUUACUCUCUAGAUCAGAGGGGAAUUUGUUAUGAUUUCCAUAAGUGUUGCCGUAGGAAUUGCCAUAAUUGUUAGAGGAGUUACUAGGAAAAGGCCUAGGAACAUAGUUUCCUCUAAAAGCAUUGUUGUUGCCAAAAUUGUUCCUACCAACAAAAUUCACGUCCAAACUAGCGUUGCUACUCUCAAUCAAAGAAGAUAGUGGCAUGUCAUUAGGAUCUACGGUAGCGUUUCUACUAGCAAUCAAAUUCAUCAACUCGUCCAUCUUAGCACUAAGCGAGUUAAUCUCUUCUAUACCGUGCACCUUUUUGCUAGCAGGCGACCUUUCAGUAUGCCACUGAGAAUAGUUGGUCAUGAUAUUGUCUAGGAGUUUUGUAGCGUCUCCUAACGUGAUUUCCAUGAACGUUCCACCUGAGGCGGAGUCCAAGAUAUUGUGAGAAGCGAAAUUCAAGCCAGCGUAAAAGAUUUGUAUAAUCAUCCACAAACUCAAGCCAUGAGCGGGACAAUUUCUAAUCAUAAGCUUCAUCCUCUCCCAAGAUUGUGCAACGUGUUCAUGAUCAAGUUGCUUGAAAUUCAUGAUAUCGUUACGUAAGGAGAUGACCUUAGCCGGCGGAAAAUACUUGGAUAUGUAAGCAUCUUUGCACCUAUCCCAAGAACCGACACUAUUUUUAGGCAAAGAAGAAAACCAAGUUUUUGCGCGAUCUCGCAACGAGAAAGGAAAAAGUUUUGACUUAAUCACGUCAUUAUCCACAUCUCUUUUCUUUUGAAUAUCACAAAGCUCAAUGAAGGUAUUGAGAUGGGAUGCGACAUCUUCACUAGGAAGGCCAGAGAAUUGCUCUUUCAUAACAAGAUUCAACAAAGCUGCGUUGAUUUCAUACGAUUCCGCACUAGUGGCGGUAGCAAUCGGAGUACUAAUAAAAUCAUUAUUAUUAGUGCUCGAGAAGUCGCAAAGUUUGAUGUUUUCACACAUGAUGUCUUCAACAAACAAACAAGCACACAAGCAAGCAAGAAACCGACAAAGGAAAACAGCAAGGGCAAGAGAAAAUGGCGAAGGAGAAAGGUGAAUGAAAACGGCAAAUGUGAAGUGGGGGAAAGGAAAAUGAGAGGCAACUGGCAACAAAAGUAAAUGCAAGAGAAGAGUUUGUGAGACCUACUUGGAUAGAUCUUGAUUUCUCCUCCCCGGCAACGGCGCGAGAAAUACUUAUGAUGGCUGUUGUGUAUCCCUUACAACGACACCAGAAAUAGUUGUGUCGACGGCACCAGAAAUCCUUCAGCUGCGGCUACGCCUUAAGGGACUUCCUAGGCAAGUAUGCAAAGGAUUUCCCCCGUGGCCUUGGAGCCUUGCGUUGGUGUUCCCUCAAAGCGGAAAGGGUGAUGUAGCACAGCGACGGUAAGUAUUUCCCUCAGUUUGAGAACCAAGGUAUCAAUCCGGCGGAAGAGUAUCUCAAGAUCAUGCACAAACACAAAAAGCUUGCACCCAACGCUAUGAAGGGGUUGUCAAUCCCUUAUAGAUUGUUUUACAAGUGAGAACUGAAAGCAACAAAGUAACAAAGCAAAGUAAAAGCGGAGUUGUAAACGAUGGAUGUGAAUAGACCCGGGGGCCGUAGUGUUUACUAAUGGCUUCUCUCAUAAAAGCAAGUAGACUGUGGGUGAACAAAUUACUGUCGAGCAAUUGAUAGAACUAUGCAGAGUCGUGAUGAUAUCUAUGCAAUGAUUAUUUCUAUAGGCAUCACGUCCGAAACAAGUAGACCGAUACUUUCUGCAUCUACUACUAUUACUCCACACGUCGACCGCUAUCCAGCAUGCAUCUAGUGUAUUAAGUCCAUAAGAACAGAGUAACGCCUUAAGCAAGAUGACAUGAUGUAGAGGGAUAAUCUCAAACCAAUGAUAAAAAACCCAUCUUUUUACCCUUGAUGGCAACUGCUUGAUGUGUGCCUUGCUGCCUCUACUGUCACUGGGAAAGGUCACCACAUGGCAGAACCCAAAACCAAGCACUUCUCUCAUUGCAAGAAUCAUAGAUCUAGUUGGCCAAACAAAACCCAAGACUCUGAGAGACUUACAAGGAUAUCAAAUCAUGCAUAUAAGAAAUCAGCAAAGACUCAAAUAUAUAUCAUAGAUAAUCUAAUCACAAGUCCACAAUUCAUCGGAUCUUGACAAACACACCGCCAAAGAAGAUUACAUCGGAUAGAUCUCCAUGAAGAUCAUGGAGAACUUUGUAUUGAAGAUCCAAGAGAGAGAAGAAGCCAUCUAGCUACUAACUACGGACCCGUAGGUGUGAAGUGAACUACUCACGAGUCAUUGGAGGGGCGAUGAUGAUGAUGAAGAAGCCCUCCACCUCCAAAGUCCCCUCCGACAAGGUGCCGGGAAGGGUCUCCAGAUGAGAUCUCGCGGAAACGGAAGCUUGCGGCGGCGGAAAAGUAUUUUCGAGGCUCCCCUGAUUUUUUGCGGAAUAUUUGGGAAUAUAUAGGCGCAAGACCUAGGUUAGGGGGCGGCCAGGGAGGCCACAAGCCUGCCCACCGCCGCCUCCCCCCUGGUGGCCGAGUGGGGGCUUGUGGGCUCCCUGGAGCCCACCUGGCUUGGCCCAAAUGCCCCCUGGACUUCUUCCGUUCGGGAUAAAAUCAUUUCGGGGUUUUUCAUCCGUUUGGACUCCGUUCCAAAAUCAGAUCUGAAAAGAGUCAAAAACACGGAAAAACAGGAACUGGCACUUGGCACUGAAUCAAUAAGUUAGUCCCAAAAAAAGAUAUAAAAAGAUACAUAAAACAUACAAAGAAGGCAAGAUAACAGCGUGAAACCAUCAAAAAUUGUAGAUACGUUUGAGAUGUAUCAAUCACUAUGAGGAAUCCGAAAGAUCCAAGAGCUAAAAUCCUGCCUUCCACUACGAGGAGAGGUAAGGAACUGCCAUCUAGCUCUGCACUUGAUUCACCUUCAGUUAUGAGUAAGUUUGCGACUUUGCCUCCUGCUAGAAAUCUUGAUAUGUCGCCUGUGCUUGAUGAUACUACUUCUGCUGUCCAUGAUACUAUGCCUGAUGAUGCUAUGCUUUAUACUAUGCCUAAUGAUGCUAUGCUUGAUACUAUGCCUCAUGAUGCCAUGCUUGAUACUAUGCAUGAUGAUGCCAUGCUUGAUACUAUGCCUGAUGAUGCUAUGCCUGAUGCUGCUUUGCCACUUGGUGCCCUUGAUGCACACAUUGCUAGAGUUGCUGCUAGAUGUGAUGAUGCUUCUGAAAUUGAUGAUACUAUUGAAGUAGAACCUGCUACUAUGCCUGAAUUGCCUAUUAUGCCUGAUACGCGCUAUGUUAUGGAGGGAGAGAUAGCUGAGGAUUUUCUUGCGUGUAAGGAUAGCUAUGAUGUUGAGAAACUUCUGCGCAAGUGGAAAGAAAAAUCUCUGAACGCUAGGAUGAAAUACGACCCGAAGUUUUCUACUUCGCCUAUCUUUGUGACCGAUAAGGAUUAUGAAUUCUCUUUCGACCCUGAUUUAAUCACUCUGGUCGAAUCUGAUCCCUUUCAUGGUUACGAAUCUGAAACGGUUGUAGCCCAUCUUACCAAACUGCACGAUAUAGCUACCCUAUUCACUAGUGAGGAAAAGAUCGGCCACUACUAUAUGCUCAAGCUGUUUCCUUUCUCGCUAAAGGAUGAUGCUAAGACCUGGUUCACUUCUCUUGCUCCUCGUUGUGUGCGUAGCCCCCAGGAUAUGGUCUACUACUUCUCUGAAAAAUAUUUCCCUGCCCAUAAGAAGCAAGCUGCCUUGCAGGAAAUAUACAACUUUGCUCAAGCUGAAGAAGAGAGUCUCCCACAAGCUUGGGGGAGGCUCAUCCUGUUGGAAUUAUGCCCUAGAGGCAAUAAUAAAUAUAGUUAUUAUUAUAAUUCCUGUAUCAAGAUAAUCGUUUAUUAUCCAUGCUAUAGUUGUAUUGAAUGAAGACUCAUUUACAUGUGUGGAUACAUAGACAAAACACCGUCCCUAGCAAGCCUCUAGUUGGCUAGCCAGUUGAUCAAAGAUAGUCAGUGUCUUCUGAUUAUGAACAAGGUGUUGUUGCUUGAUAACUGGAUCACGUCAUUAGGAGAAUCACGUGAUGGACUAGACCCAAACUAAUAGACGUAGCAUGUUGAUCGUGUCAUUUUGUUGCUACUGUUUUCUGCGUGUCAAGUAUUUGUUCCUAUGACCAUGAGAUCAUAUAACUCACUGACACCAGAGGAAUGCUUUGUGUGUAUCAAACGUCGCAACGUAACUGGGUGACUAUAAAGAUGCUCUACAGGUAUCUCCGAAGGUGUUAGUUGAGUUAGUAUGGAUCAAGACUGGGAUUUGUCACUCCGUGUGACAGAGAGGUAUCUCGGGGCCCAGUCGGUAAUACAACAUCACACACAAGCCUUGCAAGCAAUGUGACUUAGUGUAAGUUGCGGGAUCUUGUAUUACGGAACGAGUAAAGAGACUUGCCGAUAAACGAGAUUGAAAUAGGUAUGCGGAUACUGACGAUCGAAUCUCGGGCAAGUAACAUACCGAAGGACAAAGGGAAUGACAUAUGGGAUUAUAUGAAUCCUUGGCACUGAGGUUCAAACGAUAAGAUCUUCGUAGAAUAUGUAGGAUCCAAUAUGGGCAUCCAGGUCCCGCUAUUGGAUAUUGACCGAGGAGUCUCUCGGGUCAUGUCUACAUAGUUCUCGAACCCGCAGGGUCUACACACUUAAGGUUCGACGUUGUUUUAUGCGUAUUUGAGUUAUAUGGUUGGUUACUGAAUGUUGUUCGGAGUCCCGGAUGAGAUCACGGACGUCACGAGGGUUUCCGGAAUGGUCCGGAAACGAAGAUUGACAUAUAGGAUGACCUCAUUUGAUUACCGGAAGGUUUUCGGAGUUACCGGGAAUGUACCGGGAAUGACGAAUGGAUUCCGGGAGUUCACCGGGGGGGCAACCCACCCCGGGGAAGCCCAUAGGCCUUGAGGGUGGCGCACCAGCCCUUAGUGGGCUGGUGGGACAGCCCAAAAGGGCCCUAUGCGCCUAGGAAAGAAAAUCAAAGAGAAAAAAAAAGAGGAGGUGGGAAGGGAAGGAAGGACUCCCACCCACCAAACCAAGUCCAACUCGGUUUGGGGGGGGGGGAGACCUUCCCCCCAUGGCUCGGCCGACCCCCUUGAGCCCCAAGGCAAGGUCCCCUCCCUCCCACCUAUAUAUACGGAGGUUUUAGGGCUGAUUUGAGACGACUUUCCCACGGCAGCCCGACCACAUACCUCCACGGUUUUUCCUCUAGAUCGCGUUUCUGCGGAGCUCGGGCGGAGCCCUGCUGAGACAAGGUCAUCACCAACCUCCGGAGCGCCGUCACGCUGCCGGAGAACUCUUCUACCUCUCCGUCUCUCUUGCUGGAUCAAGAAGGCCGAGAUCAUCGUCGAGCUGUACGUGUGCUGAACGCGGAGGUGCCGUCCGUUCGGUACUAGAUCGUGGGACUGAUCGCGGGAUUGUUCGCGGGGCGGAUCGAGGGACGUGAGGACGUUCCACUACAUCAACCGCGUUCACUAACGCUUCUGCUGUACGAUCUACAAGGGUACGUAGAUCACUCAUCCCCUCUCGUAGAUGGACAUCACCAUGAUAGGUCUUCGUGCGCGUAGGAAAUUUUUUGUUUCCCAUGCGACGUUCCCCAACACAUCCAGCUACUGAAUGCUUUGCCUGAUCACCCUCUUGAGAAGAAUGAAAUACUUGAUAUCUUCUAUAAUGGACUUACCGAUGCUUCCAAAGACCACCUAAAUAGUUGUGCCGGUAGUGUUUUUAGGGAAUGAACCGUAGAACAAGCUGAGAUCCUACUGAAUAACAUCUUGUGCAAUGAGAAUGCUUGGACUAUUCCCGAACCACCUCCUAAGCCAACUCCGAAGAAAAGAGGUAUUCUAUUCCUCAGUCCCGAAGAUAUGCUAGAAGCCAAGAAAUCUAUGCGAGAGAAAGGCAUUAAAUCUGAAGAUAUCAAAAAUCUACCACCUAUCGAAGAGAUCCGUGGUCUCGAUAACCCGAUACAAGUAGUAGAAGUAAAUUAUGUGCGUAGAUUUGAUGAGAGUGAUAUUCCUUUUGAUAAACCUACUAGCUUAUGCAUGGAUGAAUUUGAUAACUUCGUUGCCAAACAACAGAGUUUCUAUGAUUAUGUUAGCAGACAAUUGGAAAAGAAUGCUCGUAUGCUUAGUCAUUUAAGUGCUUGUGUGGACAGAAAUGUCAGUGAUCUUAAACUUCUGAGUAAGCAUGCCUCUAUGGUUACUACUCAGGUAGAACAAGUACUUAAAGCUCAGAAUGACUUGCUCGAUGAGUUGAAUGAUAAUUCCAUCAGAGUCGUUACUAGAGGCGGUAGAAUGACCCAGGAACCUGUGUAUCCUGAGGGUCAUCCGAAGAGAAUUGAACAAGAUUCUCAAGGAGUUAACAUUGAUGCACCUAGUCAUCCUAGAAAGAAGAAGAAAGAUGAUAGGAACCUGCACGCUAGCAACCCUGUUGCUGCUACCCCUGAGAGUCCAAACGAUGCCUCUAUCUCUGAUGCUGAAACACAAUCUGGUGAUGAACAUGAGCCUAAUAAUAAUAUCAAUAGCGAUGUUCAUGAAGAUGCUCAACCUAGCAAUGAAAGGGAUGUGGAGAUUGAACUUGUUGAUCUUGAUAACCCACAACCUAAGAAUAGAAGAUACGAUAAGAAUGACUUCACUGCUAGGAAGCAUGGUAAAGAAAGGGAACCAUGGGUUCAGAAGCCCAUGCCCUUUCAUCCUAAACCAUCCAAGAAAAAGGAUGAUGAGGAUUUUGAGCGAUUCAUUGAGAUGAUCAGACCUGUCUUUCUGUAGAUGCGUUUGACGGAUAUGCUCAAGAUGUCUCGUAUGCUAAGUACAUGAAAGAUAUUCUGACUAAUAAGAGGAGGAUACCUGAGAUUGAGAUUUCCACCAUGCUUGCCAAUUACACUUUCAAGGGUGGAACUCCGAAGAAACUAGGUGAUCCCGAUGUGCCCACUAUACCUUGCUCCAUUAAAGGCCACUACGUUAGAACUGCGUUGUGCGACCUUGGAGCCGGUGUUAGUGUUAUGCCUCUCUCUCUCUUUAUCGUAGACUUGAACUGGAUAAGUUGACACCCACUGAAAUCUCUGUGCAAAUGACCGACAAAUCAACUACUUUCCCUAUCGGCAUUUGCGAGGAUGUGCCUCUUGUGGUUGCUAACACCACUAUCUUAACAGACUAUGUUAUCUUGGAUAUUCCCGAGGACGAUGCCAUGGCUGUCAUCCUCGGAAGACCCUUUUUAAACACUGUAGGGGUUGUUAUAGAUUGCAACAAAGGCAAUGUCACUUUCCAUGUCAACGGUAAUGAGCAUACGGUGCACUUUCCGAAGAAACAAUAUCGAGUACAUUGCAUCAAUGCUAUCGAAAAAACUUCAUCGAUUCUUAUUGGGAGCUUUGAAUGCCCUAUUCCUCGUGUCAAGAUGAAGUAUGAUUUUCUUGUUGGGGAGAUACACAUCCCCAUAGAGGUGACCUAGUGACUAUUCAAAAAUUCUCCGUCUUCUUUUGCGAUUCGACAAAGUUUUGUCGAGGGGAUUUGAUCAACACCAUUGAUGGAUUUCUUUCGAUGACCAUGAGAUGGGUGAAUCGAGGAGUCACAAACCUCUGUUCCAAGCCUUCACUUUAGGUUGCUUAGAAGAAAAAUGAUAGGUUUAGUUUAGUUUUCCCUUUUUCUGUUUUAGCGUCUCGUGGAAGAGUACCCAUGAGCUAGUUAUUUCCCUCCUUGGGAGUAGACCAAGCUAGGCCAAAAGCCUAAGGUUGGGGGAGUACGUGUUCUCACCGACUUUACAUUCUUGCUUAUGCUUUCACUUUGUUAGCCGGUGUUCACACUUUGCCACUGUAUCAUCCAUGCUAGUUUAUUUUAUUUUUCUCGUUUUGUUUUCGCGUGUCUAUCUAGUUUGAGAAAAAACCAAAAAGAUUUUCUUUUCUUCUUUUGCUUGUUGGGAGCUUUCUCGUGUAGAUAGUGUUCUUUUUCUUUGGGUCAAGGUAGAAGAUAUUGGUUACAAGGUUUAGUGGCUCUUGCAUGCAUACAUUUUUAGCUUUCAAAGAGCCAUAUUACUUUGUCUUCUCCUUUGUGUUUGCCUGCAGAUUCCAGCUUUAGUCCAAUGCAUGAGCACGCUUAUUAUUGUUCACAUCGUUCGGUCGUGCAAGUGAAAGGCAAUAAUGACGAUAUAUGAUGAAGUGACUGAGCCUGGAAAAGCUGGUAUGAACUUGAUCUAUUUUGUUUUUGUAAAUAUGACUAGCUCAUCAUGCCUGAUUCAGCUUUGUUGUGAGAGAAACAUGUUUGCAAUGACAACUUAGAGAUCAUAGUUGCUUAUGCCAUGCUUACUUAACUAGGAGCUUAUAAUGGUUUGUCUUGGUUGCCAACAUGAAUGUUGAGAUGACUAUGAUGUAGUAUGAUAGGAUGGUAUCCUCCUUUGAAUGUUUCAAAUGGCUUGACUUGGCGCAUUUUCAUGCAUGUAGUUGAAACAAAAUCAACAUAGCCUCUAUGAUGUUCAUGUUCAUGGUGAUUUGUGUCCUACUCAUGCUUGCACUCAAUAUUAGUUAGUCUCAAUGCAUUUUGAUGACUGUUGUCGCUCUCUAGUUGGUCGCUUCCCAGUCUUUUGCUAGCCUUCACUUGUACUAAGCGGGAAUACUGCUUGUGCAUCCACUCCCAUAAACCCAAAGUUGUGUCAUAUGAGUCCACCAUACCUACCUAUGUGCGGUAUCUACCUGCCGUUCCAAGUAAAUUUGCAUGUGCCACUCUCUAAAUCCUCAAGAAAUAAUCUGGUUUGCAUGCCCAAACCGCUCAUGUGGUGGCAGGGGGGCUAUUGGUAUCUUCCAUGCUAGGCGUGUUAUCCUCGAUAUGUGUUUAUUCACUAUCAUUCACGAGAAAGGGACCGGUAAUUGGAAUUCCCAGUUCCAUGCUCAAAUCGAAAAGAUAACGGCAAGCAAAACUCCCCCAGGAUUCAUGUUGGUUUGGACGGUACCCGAGGAUUCGUCUAGCCGUGGAGUGUGGUUGAUUGGUGGUGGGGGAGUCAAAACUUUACUUUUCUGUUUGGGACCCGCCUAUAGCAUGUGUAGCGUGGAAGAUGUUGAGAACUCUUAGUCAUUGCGUUGACAAUGAAAGCAUGCCACCCAAAAUUAUUAUCUCCGUUUUCAAAGCUUGAGCUCUGGCACCUCUGCAAAUCAACGCUUCCCUCUAUGAAGGGCCUGUCUAUUUAUGUUCCUGUUGAGUCAUCCUCCUCUUACAAAAGCACCAAUUAGAGAGCACCUCUGUCAUUUUUAUGCUUUGCUUUUAACUGUGCUGAGUAUGACUAUGACUGGAUCUUUAUUGCCUUGAAUUACAAUGUUUAGUCAGCCCUUGGUCUUUUAAGGUGCUCUGUAUUUAUGUUUUGCAGUCUCAGAAAGAGCUAGCGAGAUACCAUCUAUUCGUACUGCUUCAUGUUGUUUUGAUUGAAGUGUUGACACUUGAGGCUUAUUAUUAUUCGCUCGCUAGUUGAUUAUGCCAUUGAUAUGAGUUCACCGUGAGACCUAGAUGUCAUUUGCUUAUGUGGUUUGCUUGUGAUGUUGCUGAAAUUCUGGUUAUGAGUUAGACAUAGUUGCAACAACAAGAUCAAACAAAGUUCGUCAAAGUUUUUCUUUUGUCUCUCUCAGUUUAUCAACUGAGUUGCUUGAGGACAAGCAAGGCUUUAAGCUUGGGGGAGUUGAUACGUCUCCGUCGUAUCUACUUUUCCGAACUCUUUUGCCCUUGUUUUGGACUCUAAUUUGCAUGAUUUGAAUGGAACUAACCCGGACUGACGCUGUUUUCAGCAGAAUUGCCAUGGUGUUGUUUUUGUGCAGAAAUGAAAGUUCUCGGAACGUCCUGAAAAUUUACGGAGAUUUUUUUUGGAAUAAAAGAAAAAUACCUGCGCAAAGUUCCACAUGAGGGGGCGUGCCAGUGGGCCACAAGCCCCUGGGCCGCGGCCACCCCCUAUGGCCGCGCCAUGAGGGCUUGUGGGGCCCACGUGGCACCACCGCCCCCAAUCUCAGUCCUAUAUCUUCCGUUUCGCCUCGGAAAAAAUCAGAGAGAAGGUUUCAUCGCGUUUUGCGAUACGGAGGCGCCACCACAUCCUGUUCUUCAUCUCGAGGGCAGAUCUCGAGUUUGUUUCGGGCUUCGGAGAGGGGAAAUUGUCGCCAUCGUCAUCAUCAACCUUUCUCCAUCGACAAUUCCAUGAUGCUCUUCAUCGUUCGUGAGUAAUCUCAUCAUAGGUUUGCUGGACGGUGAUGAGUGGGAUGAGAUCUAUCAUGUAAUCGAGUUAGUUUUGACGGGGAUUGAUCCCUAGUAUCCACUAUGUUCUAGAUUGAUGUUGCUACUACUUGGCUAUGCUUAAUGCUUGUCACUAGGGCCCGAGUGCCAUGAUUUCAGAUCUGAACCUAUUAUGUUGUCGCCAAUAUAUGUGUGUUUUAGAUCCUAUCUUGCAAGUUGUAGUCACCUAGUAUGUGUUAUGACCCGGCAACCCCGGAGUGACAAUAGCCGGAACCACUCCCGGAGAUGACCAUAGUUUGAGGAGUUCAUGUAUUCACCGCGUGUUAAUGCGUUGGUCCGGUUCUUUAUUAAAAGGAGAACCUUAAUAUCCCGUAGUUUCCAUUAGGACCCCGCUGCCACGGGAGGGAUGGACAAUAGAUGUCAUGCAAGUUCUUUUCCCUAAGCACGUAUGACUACAUACAGAAUACAUGCCUACAUUAGAUCGACGAACUGGAGCUAGUUACAUAUCUCUUCGUGUUAUAGCUGUUACAUGAUGAAUCACAUCCGUCAUACUCAUCCAUCACCGAUCCACUGCCUACGAGUCUCUUACUACUGGUUCUCGCUACGUUACUUUGCCUAGGCUCGUCCCUUGCUACAAGAGGGAUUGGGCCACUUUGCUACUGCCGUCACUUUGCUGCUGUUGCUACUGCUGUUACUUGUUACUUUGCUGCUGCUGCUGCUACGACUGUUCCUUGCUACUCCACUGUUACUUGUUGCAAGACUUUGUUGGCACUAACAUCCCGUCAACAGGGCCUUUUCUGGUGCAGUUGCUGGAAAUUGUCAAAGCUUUUACUGGCGCCAUUGAUACAACAGUUAGGAUUAGUCUGCCUUGUCACCAGAUCGUUUCUGGCUCCGUUGUUAUCAUACUACCUUGCUACUAAUACUUUGCUUGCAGACACUAAUCUUUCAGGUGUGGUUGAAUUGACGACUCAGCUGCUAAUACUUGAGAAUAUCCUUUAGCUUCCCCUUAGGAGCGAAUCAAUAAAUUUGGAUUGAAUACUCUACCCUCGAAAACUGCUACGAUCCCAUACACUUGUGGGACACCAUUGGGCCUUGCCCCAAUUACUGCUACAUGACGCGCUGGUAUCAUUGCAUAUCCUGCUACACUGGUAGAGGCAUACAUUUGCAUACAUCAUGAUAGUUUUCACUUGUCUUUAUGUUGAGUACUUCUUAUAAAGUGUGAUGAUCUUCUUUUUAUUCAUGUAAAACAUAGAGUGUUGCCUUUAAGUGAGCAAAAGAUCCCAACAAGGACAAACAAAAGAGGACAAAGAGGACAAAUGAGAUNNNNNNNNNNNNNNNNNNNNNNNNNNNNNNAAAAAUAAAAAGAGAAAAAGAGGAAACCUCUAUGUACUCGUUGGGAGCAAAGUUAUUUGUUGUGUGUGCAGGUCCAUGUCUUCUGCUGACCAGGACAGGAGACACCUACUUGUUGGUCCUAGGAGUCCUACUGGUUCGAUAAACCUUACAGUCUCCGUGUAAGGGGGAAAAUGUUGGUGACUAUAUCUCAACCUUCCACUUGUGGUAACCAACGAGGAGCGAGAAGUAUAUACAUAAUCACGUCAUCAAUCAUGCAGCGGCGGCGGCGCCCGACGCGCGUUCCUUUCCGACGGGUCCAACCAGAAUGCCACCCUGCACGACAAUGUUUCCUUGCCGCUUGCAGGCAGGCGCGUUGGUGCCUUGGGCGAUGGCGGGGGCGACAUGCCGGCGACGAGAUUUGCCUGACAGGAUUGUGCAUAUGCGACCUCCAUGUUGGCGAGAUCCGCCGGCUGGGAGGCUUCCAUGGGGGCGAAGAAUGGCAGGGAAGAUGGUCCGGAGCGCGCGGUGGUGGGGCAAUGGCUGCCAAGGAGGGGGAGCAGGGAACGGCCACGCGGAAAUUUCCCUCGCGCCAAAUCUCGUUGCGGUUAAGGGGCGAGCUCGGGUCAGCCUCCCACCCCGUGUAUCUGAAGGUUGAGGGCAAACUUUUGUCAUUCCCCGCAACAAUUUUUACGGGUCGGACGCGUUUGCGGGGUCUGGUCUGGCAACAUUUUCCGCCCCGUCCCGUAUUUUGGCAGUUAUUUUACGGGUCGGGGCAUUAUACAGGGUCUCCUAGAGAUUCUCUUAUGGUCUACCCUUAUUCCUCUCCGCCUAUCCGUGGUACCAUUCAUAAUUCACAUAUCUGAGGAUAUGGUGGGACGAUUCCAGUGUUUUGAUCUUUUUGGUAUAGUUUAGCCUGAACUGAACUCGUUUGUGAUUUUUUUGGAUCUAACCCUUUUCCUACCGCCAUCCGCUAUGGAGGUACACAUCCUAUCGUCACUACCUGCGGCAAUAGGGUUCAGGUCAAAAACAGACGACGCUGUGUGAUCCCGCUGACGUGGAUAAGUGGCAACCGCCAAAGGGAAUGUUGGUAGGGUGCGUAUGCCUACUGCCACAGGGAAUGACUGUAGGGUGUUCAAACAAUUAAUUCCACCACGGGGGAAAUUGAUUGUCUAAACACCCUACCGCCACCCGCAGUGGCCAUAGGAACACACACCCUACCGCCACUUUGUGUGGCGGUAGCCACUUAUCCACGUCAGCAGGGUCAAACAGGAUCGUGUGCAUUGACCCAAGCCCUACCACUAUAGAGAGUGGCGGUAGGAUGUGUAUACUUAUCGCCACAAUGGGUGGCGAUAGGAAAAGAAUCAGAUCCUAUAAUUUUAACAAACUAUGGUCACAUCUGGAUCAAGUUUUAGAAAAGGGUCAAAGCAGUGAAAUCGUUCGCUAGGGUGUUGCAAGCCACCAAAGAAGACGGCAUGCCAGCAUGCACGAGGAAUGAAAGCAUGACGAGGAAAGGAAGAGUUCAAGUUGUUGUGUGUCGGCCAUUCCAAUGGUGCGGGGCCGGUCGACCGACACCUAACACUGCCUUUUUGUCUUGAGACGGAACGACGGGCAAACUGACAGUCUAACUUCACUAAAACCGUGAUAUUAGGGAGCGAACAUUAUUCAUCUUGAACUUGCACAAAUGUAAAUUAGAGCAACUCCAACGCGCCGAUCCAUUACGUCUGCACGCAUCCGUUUGGGCCAAGGCGGACAGAAAAGUCGUCUCAAUGCGCCGACCCAAACGGACGCUCGUCCGCUUUUUAUCCGCUUGGCGACCCAUUCCCGGCCAUUUUGGAGCCUGAUUUACGACAGCGCGGAUACAGGACGGACGCACACAUUGCGCGCCAACUACUCCCCCUGGCCCGUUAGUGUGUGGCAAAUCCUCCACCAUUUCCCUGCAAUUUCCCAAAACCGUCCCUCCCGCGCGCGUUCCCGAGCCGCUUGCCAUGGACGAAGACCUCGAUGCCGCCGCCGGCCUCGCCUCCCUCUCCUCGUCCGGCAUCACGACUGCCCCGUGUCCGCCCCUCUUUGUUAAUAUGCUUGUGUGUAAUUCAUUUGUAGGCAUUCCAAGCUUUAGAGGCAUUCAAAGUCCAACACGAAGGCAAGUCCUUCAACCUUUCUCAUUGUUGGAGGAUCAUCAAAGAUGAGGAGAAGUUCAAGGUCCAAUAUGCCGCCCUCACAACGCAGGGGGGAAGGAAGCCAUGGAGGAGAUUGGCAGAGUGAGAAGCCACGACCACGGGAAAAGACCAACUCCAAGAAGGAGGACAAGUGGGACGCGGCGUCGAUCGCCUUGAUCGCAAUCGUGAAGGGCAUGAUGACCAAGAAGGAUUCAAGGGAGGAGAAGCGCCGACAAGACAAGGAAGAGAAAAUAAACGUCUUCAUGGACAUUCAAAGGAGGAGGCUUGAGAUGGAGGUAGAAGCAAGCCAAGAUGCUUGAGAUGGAGGCAGAGAAGCAAGCCAAGAUGCUAGAGAUCGAGGCCGCCAAUGACAAAACCAAGGCGAAAGAAGUGGCUCUGGCUAGCAUGAUGAAAAGGACGCGGAUGUCGCCUAGAGGGGGGAGGGUGAAUAGGCGCUUUAAAAUAGUUAAGGUUUAGGCUUGAACAAAUGCGGAAUAAAACUAACGUUUAAUAUGUCAAGCACAAAACCUACAAACAACUAGGCUCACCUAUGUGCACCAACAACUUAUGCUAAGCAAGAUAAACAACUAAGUGAUAGCAAGAUAUAUUACAAUAAACAAUAUGUCUAUCACAAAGUAAAGUGCAUAAGUAAAGGGUUCGGGUAAGAGAUAACCGAGGCACGGGGAGACGAUGAUGUAUCCCGAAGUUCACACCCUUGCGGAUGCUAAUCUCCGUUAGAGCGGUGUGGAGGCACAAUGCUCCCCAAGAUGCCACUAAGGCCACCGUAAUCUCCUCACGCCCUCGCACAAUGCAAGAUGCCGUGAUUCCACUAAGGGACCCUUGAGGGUGGUCACCGAACCCGUACAAAUGGCAACCCUUGGGGGCGGUCACCGAACCCGUACACGUGGCAACCCUUGGGGGCGGUUACCGGUACCCGUACAAAUUGCUCGGGGCAAUCUCCACAACCUAAUUGGAGACCUCGACGCUUCCCGAAGCUUCACACCACAAUGAUUGAGCUCCGAGACACCACCAAGCUUCUAGGACGCCAAAGCAUCCACGAAGAACAAUAUCAAGGGUACUAAGUACCAAAGGUAGUAAGCUUCUCAACUUCUCACUUCCACGUAUCACCGUGGAGAACUCAAACCGAUGCAACUAAUGCAAUGGAAAGAACACACGAAGUGGUCAAGUCCCUCACACUCAAAUCCCUACACAACAACAAAAGCUAUGGAGAAAUAUGAGAGGAAGAACAAGGAGCUCACAAAGAACUCCAAGAUCAAGAUCCAAGGGGUUCCCCUCACAUAGAGGAGAAAGUGAUUGGUGGAGAUGUGGAUCUAGAUCUCCUCUCUCUUUUCCCUCAAGAACAAGCAAGAAUCAUUGGAGGAAUAGGGAGCAAUCAAGCUCUAAGAAUGUCAACAAUGGAGAUAGAACAAGAGCUCAACCGAUGGAUAAGACCAAGGGGGAAGAAGACCCCCUUUAUAUAGUGGGCGAAGGAAUCAGACCAUUACCCCCACUUUCUGCCCGAGCUCCAGCGGUACUACCGCUGGCUGCAGCGGUACUACCGCUGGCACUCCAGCGGUACUACCGCCAGCUAGCGGUACUACCGAUGGGCCCCUGGUAGUGCAACGGCACUACCACCGCCAAGAAAGUCUUCGCAAAAAGGUCCGUCCACGAACAACCGCUAGGCAGGCGGUACUAAGCUCCUGGAGCGGUACUACCACUGACCAGGGGCGGUACUACCGCCAGCCAGCGGUACUACCGCUAGGGCCCGCGGUACUACCGCCAACUCUAGCGGUACUACCGCUAGGUCCAGCGGUACUACCGCUCGCCACUGAAACAGCCAUAACUUUCGCAUACGAGCUCCGAAUCGAGCAAACCCAAGCUUGUUGGAUUCAGGGCGACAAGGGCUAUCCAAACAGCCCUUAAGACCAUGCGGUUAUGAAUAUGCCAAAGAUAUAGAGAUGUGAGUCCUCUAUGAAUGAAGAACCGGCAAAAACUCCAACAUUGAAAACAUCAUAGUAGAUGCAUAUGGACUCCGUUUUCGAUGAACUCGAGCUUGUCACGAAGAUGACCAUAAGCUCUAAAACUCACAAAGAGAAACACCAAACAAGAACCAAGAAGUAUGAUGCAAGGAUGCAAAUGGUUUGAGCUCUCAACGAAUGAUACGAUCAAGCUACUCACUUGAGAGCCCCCUUGAUAGUACAACAAUCUAUCUUAAACAGAAAACCUAUCAAGGGCAAACCUAUACCUUUGAAUGAAGAACCGGCAAAAACUCCAACAUCGAAAACAUCAUAGUAGAUGCAUAUGGACUCCGUUUUCGAUGAACUCGAGCUUGUCACGAAGAUGACCAUAAGCUCUAAAACUCACAAAGAGAAACACCAAACAAGAACCAAGAAGUAUGAUGCAAGGAUGCAAAUGGUUGGAGCUCUCAACAAAUGAUACAAUCAAGCUACUCACUUGAGAGCCCCCUUGAUAGUACAUCAAUCUAUCCUAAACAGAAAACCUAUCAAGGGCAAACCUAUACCUUGCACCUCGUCCUCUUGAGCUAGAUGAUGAUGAUCUUGGCUUCCUCAAGAUGGACCACCUUUCUUGAUUGUGUUGGCUUGAUGAAGACUAGUUGAUUGCUCCCCCAUACUCACUAUGGGUGAGCAACUCUUCAGCAUAUCUUCACAAGUCCAUUGCCACCACAAUGGACGGCAAGCUUCAAGCAUGAUAUCUUCGUGUUGAUCCACUUGAACUUGCACAUCGCGAUCUUGAUGACGAUCACAACUUGACGUCAUACUUCAUGGGUUGUAUGAGAUCUUCCCUUUGAUGCAAGCCCAUGGAAACACACCUAACCCCCACAUAGAACUCUCACGAAGACCAUGGGUUAGUACACAAAUACGUAAUGGACAAUGCUUACCAUACCAUGGGAUUACUUGAUCCCUCUCGGUACAUCUUGUACGCUUUGUGUGUUGAUCAUCUUGAUUUGCUCAUGGGUUGUAUGAGAUCUUCCCUUUGACGCAAGCCCAUGGAAACACACCCAACCCCCACAUAGAACUCUCACGAAGACCAUGGGUUAGUACACAAAUACGUAAUGGACAAUGCUUAUCAUACCAUGGGAUCACUUGAUCCCUCUCGGUACAUCUUGUACGCUUUGUACGCUUUGUGUGUUGAUCAUCUUGAUUUACUCUUUGUCUGAGAUCUUGAUCAACCAUGUGUCUCUAUGACCAUUCUUUGGAUAAUACCUUGAAUACCAUCUUGGUCAUCAUAUAAACUCCUUGAACCCAACAGAUGGACUUCAAGAAGUGCCUAUGGACAAAUCCUUGUGUGUUGAUCAUCUUGAUUUACUCUUUGUCUGAGAUCUUGAUCAACCAUGUGUCUCUAUGACCAUUCUUUGGAUAAUACCUUGAAUACCAUCUUGGUCAUCAUAUAAACUCCUUGAACCCAACAGAUGGACUUCAAGAAGUGCCUAUGGACAAAUCCUAUAAAUGUAUCUUAAGGCAACCAUUAGUCCAUAGGAAUUGUCAUCAAUUACCAAAACCACAUAUGGAGAUAUAUGCUCUAACACAUGAUGAUGGGGGUGGAGAUCAUGAAGGUCGAUCUCAACACCGUGCCGCCAAGGAAUAGGUCGUGGUUCGAGAAGAUGCAGGCCGACAUGCUCAAGUUCACCGACGAGUGAUAUCUAUCGCGGCGAGCGCCAUUUUUUUUAUGUCGGCAAGUGCGCUCGCAUGAACUGUGUGGUGUUUUAUUAAGCUGGCAUUGUAUGUCGGUCGCUGGCAUGGUGCCGACAUGAACUUUGGGCGACGACAUUAUCGCUGGCUUGAUCUACAGUCGCGGACCUUUUCAAAUGUAUGCGUGGACAUAAAAUGGAUCGUAAAAAUGGACGCACUGUCGACCCAGAUGUUAAACAAGACAGACGUCGAGUGAGCGUCCGACCCAAAUGGAUAAAAAGCGGACAAAAAGAUCGUCUGUUUUGAUCGAUACGUUGAAGUUGCUCUUACAUUUGAAUAAAUAUAAACUGCUUCACUCGUUCGGAAGAAACUUCUUGCACUGUCACAUGCAUUUUCAUCUCAAGAAAUUCCCAUGUGCUGUGAUUAUAACGAGCAUACUUGCAAGUCUCAAGACGGAACGGUGGGGUUUGUUUGUUUUUCCUUGCGAGUCAUUGGAUCAGGUCCUCAAUGAUCUCUUUCCAUUGAUAGACCAAGGUCAACUUGAGCGCAUGACCCCAUCAUGUCCGGGUGCGUCUGUUUGGGGUAAAACGGACAUACCAGACGACCCAGCGCGCGGACGCAAACGGACUUUUGUCCGUUUUCUGUCCGCUUUUGACCCAUCCUCGCCCUAAGUUUGGGCUGCCUUUGGGGUGAAACAGACAGCACGCGGACAGACCGAACGCGCGUGCUUGUCCUCCCCUGGCCCGCCCGUCGGUGGCACAGGCCUCCAUUUUUCAAGCCGCAACCCGCCACUCUUUUCACUCGCCGCCGCCGCCGCUAACAUUUGCCGUUGUGCAGCUCGGACGCGCGCUCACCCCAAACCUUCGCAGGCCCCGCUCCCUCGACGCCCCCGAGCUACCCAACCACGACCACCUGAUUUGCGCUCCUGGCGAUUGGAUUUGGAGCGGAUCCGGUCGGACUUGGGGCUCGCCCGGGUACGGGAGGCCACGCAGUGACAUGGACUGGCGGGACACCGGGCCAGGACCUCCCGGCAAGGCCACAAUGCCGCAUGCAGGUGUUGACUCCUCCUCUAGCCGUUCGGAUCUACACCGUUGGCGGUUCGCACGCAGAUACAAGAGCGGCGGGAGGCCGGGGUCGGUGCUGGAUCGAAGGCUCGUCGGUGCACCGUUGCCACUUAUUAAAUGUGACGACUGUCCAAGGAAGGUCCAGUGUCGCAUGUCUACAAUGCCGGAACAUCCCGGAUGGGUGUUCAUCAAGUGCCCAAACAUGGGGAGGUAUUUGCCCAAACGAGCAUCGUUUGUGCUUUCGGAUUGACUACUUAUGCUAACUUAAUUUUGUUGUUGUGUAGAAUGGAUAUGAUUUUUGGUACUGGGAAGAAGACUCAUUGAUAUUUUGAUAGAAUGUAAAUUAGUCGAUGUUCGUACACUUUUAGCUACAACAGAGGUUAGAAAUAAGAAUAGUGCACUUGUUGCUACAAUAGAUGAUAUAGAUGAAAGUAGAUGCGAGGAAGCAACGUCAACUUCUUUAGACAUAAAGAAGAUAGAAGCACGCAAGAUCGAACCUCCAUAGAUCAACAACUAAUGCAUCGAGAAGGCACUAAUCCAACUUACGGGAGUAGUUAUGGAAGUUGGAUUUAUUUUAAAAUGUCUUCUUGUGGUUCUUGUUUUUUUUGGUCUUGCUAUUCUGAUCAAAAUUUGAUGAUGUACUACCAUGUAUCAAAAAUUAGUGAUAAAAAUAAAAAUAUAUGUGCUUGAAAAAGAGUGUAUGCACGACGUCGAAAUGCGGCCCUGCGUUGGGCGCACGACCGACGCAUCUCAGAAAAGCACCGGAUACGACCCCAUUGCCCGCCCCAAACGGGCAUAAACCGGAUCAAACGGACGUCCGGAUGGGGUCGCGCUCUGAAGUUGGCCUAAGAGCAUCUCCAACAGCCGCGUCAAAAAACACAUCCCAUGCAAAAACACCAUUUUAACGCGCACGAGACGGUUUCACGCGCUUCAGCGGAAGCGGGAAAGUGAUGCGCGCGGGGAAAAGUGGGCGGGCGCGCGCUAGAUUUGACGCGCGGCAUACAUCGCGCCUAUGACAUGCAACGCCCUCCCCACGCCCUUCCACCGAAUCGUCGCCCCUCGUCUCGCCACGCGCCCUCACUCGCCUCGCCACGCGCCCUUCUGCCUCCUUUCUCGCCGCGCCACCAUGUCGUCGCACCGCCGGGGAACUUCUGGCUACCGCGGCGUCCGCGCGCGCCCCUCCGGCACGUUCUACGUCGAGAUCCGAUCCGGCGAGAUGCGCCUCGGCCUCGGCACGUUCGAUACCGUCGAGGAGGCCGCCCGCGCGUAUGACACGUCGGCAUGGCACCUGAACAGGCUUCGAAGGAAGAUGAAUUUCCCCGAGGUGAUGACGAUGGAAUGGACGCAGAACGUCGCGCCUCGUCCAUGGGUAGUCAUCGACGAGGACCGUCGUCCGAACCGAAGGUGGGAGCGCUGCCUCAGCAUUGCUCAGAUGGAAGAACAUGUCAUGGUGGAGUGAUGCCGACAGUUCCCGCACGACGUCUUCGGCGAGCGUCAAUUCUUCACACAAAGGAGGACGGAGAGGGCGGAGCAAGCCGCCUAUCGUGAAGAUAGGCGUACGCGAAAGCAAGCCGCAAUCUUCGAGAUGGAGCUCAAGGAAGCGUCGACUUGGUCCUCCGACGAUAAACGCUGGGCUGACGCCUUCAUCACGACGGAGGAAUCGGACAGUGACGCGUCGGAGUCCGACGACGACGAUGAGGAGAAUUUUUUUUUAUCGGUUUUUUUUAUCUAAGCUAUGCUAUGUAGUUUUUUUAACUAUCUAGACUAUCUAUUAACUAUGCUAUGUAUCUUUUUAUUCUAUGAUGUGAUAAAAAAUGCAUCUUACAUACCCUAAAUUUUACGCGUUUGCUGCAGUGUCGCGCGUGUAUAAUUUUUAGGUUUUCAUUAAAACCAACGUUCGACGACACCGUAAAUUUUAUGAUGCCUGCGCUGUAAACAGAAAUUUUAUUUACCGCACGUUGGGCGUUUCUGUAAAGCUCAAACAAGAUUGUGCACAUGUAUGCAUGCAUCUGACCGACUGUAAAAGCUGACCGAUUGGAUAUGGAAAAUGUUCGCACAACCGAUCACUUGACCACUCAGACGAAUCUAAUGGAUGCAUGACGUAAACUUCACCCUUGGUAAUUUCAAGGAAGCGAGUUCUAUACAUGCGUGGUCACGGUGUGUAAGCAGUGACCGACCAAGCCAAACCGGCCGGUUCCUCUCGGUGGAACAGCCGGAAACGAGGCUCAGGUUAAAAACCAAACGCCGCCCACUGUGGAACGUGAGGCGGCCAAAUUGACAGUUUUAAUUAUUAUUUUUCAAUUUUUUGUGAGAUUUGACUUUCUUUUUUAUAUGAUUUUUUUAGACAACACUAGGGACCGGCGCCGCACCUCCGUUUUGCCGUGCGGCGGCUCACUUAAUCACAUUCUAAUGCAAAAAUUAACCUCUUGUUAAUCACCCAUUACAUAUCUCUCUCAUGCAUGCAUGAUAUCAUUAUGUAUAAUAAAAACUGCUACAUGCAUGUAAUGAUGUCACCAAGAUUCCUUUUGAUUUUGAAAUUUAAAAAGUUUUAUCUACAAAACCGUUAAUUCAAUCGAUGAUCCGCUUUCAUCAUUGACUUUCUCUCGACGAGUUCUUCGAAAUUAGAUCCCAUGUCGACAUGUUCCGUCAACUAUUUUUUUCAUCCAUAUUUGCCAUAUUUUUUGACCCCACUUGCCAUAUUAUUAACCACUUACUUGCCUGAAAAAAUAACUUAAUUGACACUUUUAAUGUUUUUUCGUACAAAACCAUGUAACAGUUUUCAUUAUACAUGAUAUAAAAGCAUUGUCAUAGGUUGUGUUUGUCAAUUUAAAUAUGCAAACUUGUCAUAUUUACAUACAACUUUGUAAAAAAACAAUUUUGUGUGUUUGUUAGUUUAACUAUGUGAAGUUAUCAUAUUUAUAAACGAUGAUCAAAAAAGAUUUUUUGUGGUCACCGAUUUUAAAUAUGUUGAGUUGUCAUAUUUUUGCGCGUAAUCGCCUAAAAAAAUUGUUUGUGCUUGCCAUUUUGAUUAUGUCUAGAUGUCAUAUUUAUACGCAGGUUUCAAAAAAUUUGACGAUUAAGUUAUUUUUUAUCAGACAAGUAAGUACUUAUUAAUAUGACAAGUAAGUACAGCAAAUGUGGUAAGUACGAGCAAAAAAAAAGUUGUCAAAACAUGUCGACAUGGGAUCUAGUUUUGAAGCUUUUAUCGAAACAAAGUCAACAACGAAAACGAAACAUCGAUCGAAUUAACGGUUUAAGAGAUAAAAGUUUUUGAAUUUCGGUCAUUUAAAAAGAAUCUCAUGACAUCAUUGCAUGCAAGCAUGCAUGAGAAGAAAGGAAACAAGCCGCUGCACGGAAUGUCCAUCAUGCAGCGCUUCUAAAUAGAAUUUCCUUUCUUUUUUUAUCGCUUAUAAGCCAGAUCCGUUCAGUAAAGAAAAGACCAUAUUGUCAUGGUCUUUGACAAUCUCCCGUAAUAAUAAAGCACGUACUGCUUCUGACGUCCGUUGCGGCAUUUUUGCAAAAACACCCCUGUAGUUUCCUCUAAUUAACCCACGGUACGUUUUUAAGUGAGGCCGAACCGUUUUUUUCAUAUUUUACACAAAACCCCCUUACUUUCGUGCUAAAUAACCCACGGUCCAAAUUAUAUUCAGAGCGAAUCGUUUUUUAAAUUUUUUUACGUACACCCCUCACAUAUGCGUUAAUANNNNNNNNNNNNNNNNNNNNNNNNNNNNNNNNNNNNNNNNNNNNNNNNNNNNNNNNNNNNNNNNNNNNNNNNNNNNNNNNNNNNNNNNNNNNNNNNNNNNNNNNNNNNNNNNNNNNNNNNNNNNNNNNNNNNNNNNNNNNNNNNNNNNNNNNNNNNNNNNNNNNNNNNNNNNNNNNNNNNNNNNNNNNNNNNNNNNNNNNNNNNNNNNNNNNNNNNNNNNNNNNNNNNNNNNNNNNNNNNNNNNNNNNNNNNNNNNNNNNNNNNNNNNNNNNNNNNNNNNNNNNNNNNNNNNNNNNNNNNNNNNNNNNNNNNNNNNNNNNNNNNNNNNNNNNNNNNNNNNNNNNNNNNNNNNNNNNNNNNNNNNNNNNNNNNNNNNNNNNNNNNNNNNNNNNNNNNNNNNNNNNNNNNNNNNNNNNNNNNNNNNNNNNNNNNNNNNNNNNNNNNNNNNNNNNNNNNNNNNNNNNNNNNNNNNNNNNNNNNNNNNNNNNNNNNNNNNNNNNNNNNNNNNNNNNNNNNNNNNNNNNNNNNNNNNNNNNNNNNNNNNNNNNNNNNNNNNNNNNNNNNNNNNNNNNNNNNNNNNNNNNNNNNNNNNNNNNNNNNNNNNNNNNNNNNNNNNNNNNNNNNNNNNNNNNNNNNNNNNNNNNNNNNNNNNNNNNNNNNNNNNNNNNNNNNNNNNNNNNNNNNNNNNNNNNNNNNNNNNNNNNNNNNNNNNNNNNNNNNNNNNNNNNNNNNNNNNNNNNNNNNNNNNNNNNNNNNNNNNNNNNNNNNNNNNNNNNNNNNNNNNNNNNNNNNNNNNNNNNNNNNNNNNNNNNNNNNNNNNNNNNNNNNNNNNNNNNNNNNNNNNNNNNNNNNNNNNNNNNNNNNNNNNNNNNNNNNNNNNNNNNNNNNNNNNNNNNNNNNNNNNNNNNNNNNNNNNNNNNNNNNNNNNNNNNNNNNNNNNNNNNNNNNNNNNNNNNNNNNNNNNNNNNNNNNNNNNNNNNNNNNNNNNNNNNNNNNNNNNNNNNNNNNNNNNNNNNNNNNNNNNNNNNNNNNNNNNNNNNNNNNNNNNNNNNNNNNNNNNNNNNNNNNNNNNNNNNNNNNNNNNNNNNNNNNNNNNNNNNNNNNNNNNNNNNNNNNNNNNNNNNNNNNNNNNNNNNNNNNNNNNNNNNNNNNNNNNNNNNNNNNNNNNNNNNNNNNNNNNNNNNNNNNNNNNNNNNNNNNNNNNNNNNNNNNNNNNNNNNNNNNNNNNNNNNNNNNNNNNNNNNNNNNNNNNNNNNNNNNNNNNNNNNNNNNNNNNNNNNNNNNNNNNNNNNNNNNNNNNNNNNNNNNNNNNNNNNNNNNNNNNNNNNNNNNNNNNNNNNNNNNNNNNNNNNNNNNNNNNNNNNNNNNNNNNNNNNNNNNNNNNNNNNNNNNNNNNNNNNNNNNNNNNNNNNNNNNNNNNNNNNNNNNNNNNNNNNNNNNNNNNNNNNNNNNNNNNNNNNNNNNNNNNNNNNNNNNNNNNNNNNNNNNNNNNNNNNNNNNNNNNNNNNNNNNNNNNNNNNNNNNNNNNNNNNNNNNNNNNNNNNNNNNNNNNNNNNNNNNNNNNNNNNNNNNNNNNNNNNNNNNNNNNNNNNNNNNNNNNNNNNNNNNNNNNNNNNNNNNNNNNNNNNNNNNNNNNNNNNNNNNNNNNNNNNNNNNNNNNNNNNNNNNNNNNNNNNNNNNNNNNNNNNNNNNNNNNNNNNNNNNNNNNNNNNNNNNNNNNNNNNNNNNNNNNNNNNNNNNNNNNNNNNNNNNNNNNNNNNNNNNNNNNNNNNNNNNNNNNNNNNNNNNNNNNNNNNNNNNNNNNNNNNNNNNNNNNNNNNNNNNNNNNNNNNNNNNNNNNNNNNNNNNNNNNNNNNNNNNNNNNNNNNNNNNNNNNNNNNNNNNNNNNNNNNNNNNNNNNNNNNNNNNNNNNNNNNNNNNNNNNNNNNNNNNNNNNNNNNNNNNNNNNNNNNNNNNNNNNNNNNNNNNNNNNNNNNNNNNNNNNNNNNNNNNNNNNNNNNNNNNNNNNNNNNNNNNNNNNNNNNNNNNNNNNNNNNNNNNNNNNNNNNNNNNNNNNNNNNNNNNNNNNNNNNNNNNNNNNNNNNNNNNNNNNNNNNNNNNNNNNNNNNNNNNNNNNNNNNNNNNNNNNNNNNNNNNNNNNNNNNNNNNNNNNNNNNNNNNNNNNNNNNNNNNNNNNNNNNNNNNNNNNNNNNNNNNNNNNNNNNNNNNNNNNNNNNNNNNNNNNNNNNNNNNNNNNNNNNNNNNNNNNNNNNNNNNNNNNNNNNNNNNNNNNNNNNNNNNNNNNNNNNNNNNNNNNNNNNNNNNNNNNNGAAGCCCUCCAGUGACAGCAGGCGGUCGCCGCCAACGUCACCGCCAACGAGAAGGCUGAGGAGUGGCGCCGCAUCCGCACGAAGCAGGUGGCGAAGUAUGUCGACCUCUGCAGCUCCGGCGAGGAGGAUUGAGCGUUCGGCUCUUCCACGGCGUCAUCCCUUUGCCGCGACCUCGCUGCCAUCAGAUCCGACCCCUCUAUUACUAGUUUAACGUAGUAUGUAGUAUAACUAUGCUUGUAGUUUGUUGAUCAUGUGAUGAACUAUGUAGUAUGUGAUGAACUAUGUUUGUGUAAUUUCUUCCACGAAAGUGUUUUUUCAAAUUAUGCAGGUUUUGAUACAGGUUUUGUUCGGCCGCACACGUUUUUGACCCGCAAACGCGAUCUUCGUAAAACCGCAAACACGUUUAGCGGGUCAAAUUUUUGCAGGGACUGCUAGAGUUGCUCUUAUCAAUAUUAAUGAAACUUCGUGAGUUAUCUUCUCCUUUGUUAUUUAUAUAUAUAUAUCUAAUUCAAUCUGGAUAGUUAAUCGAGUAAAGGCGUGUGCAUUGUGCCAUAAGCUGGUCUUUCUUCUAGCCAUCUGAAUUUUCACAUGGUUAUGCAGCUUUAAUGGAAACCGUGAUUUAUGUGGUAAACAGAUUAAUUCAGUGUGCAAAGAUGCACUUCAAUCACCAUCAGAUGGCUCUGAACAGCCUUGGAAAGGUAACAGAUAUUUGAACACAGUAUUCUUGCAUUGUUUGUUAUAUGCGUCUAAUACUUUUUUGUUGACAAGGUUGAAUGUGCAUUUGAUCAUUGACGCCGGUACUAACUAAUAGAUCUUUUAUGUUCCACUAGGAAACUGAUCUAUGAAAAAUUUGCAUUCUGUAAAUUAAUUUCUAUGCUUAAUUUCAAGAGUGAGCCUGUAGUAUUUCCAGUUCAAAAUAAUUUUGUGUUCUUAUGUGUUUUGAUAUUCUAAUAUGUGCCCGUUGACAUGUGUUGUGCUACCCAACUUCACCCAUGACAUGUGUUGUGCGUCAAUGGUGAGAACAACAACCUGACCCCUUCACCUUUUCUUUUGUGAUGUUCAACCAUGGCAACCAUGUUCGAUGUUUAGUUUAAUGUCGUUUUUAAAGCUAGCUUAGUUGAUACUAAAUGUUCCAUGCUAUUAAGUGCAUCACCAGUCACUACCGGAGCCUCUUUGUUCAGAUGUCUAUGCCAUAUAAGCAAGUUGGUGUGAUCAUCAUUUAUGGAAAAUUAUGCAACAACCUUGGUAUUUGCUUACCAAUUUUGUGCCUGGUUCUUACUAGACGUCUAGACCUGACUUUCACCACAUACAUGUAAGUAUUAGAUGAUGCAUAAUGACACAUCAAUCAAUUAUGCUUCUUUUUUUUAUCCGGUGCAACGCACGGGCAUCUGUGCUAGUAAAUAUAAAAACCCUAUCGUUGUAGACUGACGAUAAGGUCUUUUUCGCACCGAACAAACACGACGUACAUAAAUAGUAACGCCAAAGACAAUAAUGAUAAAAAAUAAUCAAAUUGGAAAACUUUUACACAUGUGAUCAGAUGGUGCUAGCAAGUGGUUAGUUUGAUAAGCUAUCAACAAAAAUUGCAACCAAAGAUCGUGCUAAACUAAUGAAAAAGUUAAAACAGUGGAUUUGCCCACGUAAGGGCAUCUUCAAUAGUCGUAUGAUCAUCGUCGGUAAAAUUACCACGUAGACGAAUUUAAUGACAUGUCGCAUAAUAAAAGAAGAGAGAGAAUAAAAUCGUAUGAACUUUAGCAACGCUUCUGGCACAAGCUCCGAUGCAACCAUAGUCAUUUCUUUAACAUUUAGUAGACCUGCUUAGUUAUUUUACAUACGGUUAGCAUACAUUCAAUUAAAAAGCUUGUAUGAUAUGUUGUUGACAGUUGAUGUGAACACUUAUACCAACGAUUGAACAUACAAACUGUUGAAGAUGCACUAAGGCGACAGGCCACGAGCCGCGUGCAACGCGUGCCUUAUCCGCGUGGCGUGGGCACAAACGCACGCAAUGAAGUCCGAUCACGGUAGCUGACCGAUCACUGAUUUAUGAAGUCUGAUUACGAAGGACCAUACCGUUCCUCCCGGUGGAGCUGCCGGAAUCGAGGCUCCAGAGAGGCCACAGCACUUGCCGUGGAACUCGUGACCCGCGAGGCGACAGGGCACAUGCCGCGUGCAACGCGUGCCUCGCCCUCGUGCCUUGCACAAACGCGCGCAGUUAAGCCCGAUCUCCGUAUCCGACACUGAUCGCUGAUCAGCCCAACCACACGCUGCGGUCACAGCCUCUCCACAUCUCGGUGCAGUGACAGUCGAGCUCUUUUGCAGCGUAGUAACAAGGUUCCAGAAUACCUGCCAACACAGGUCAAGUCUGCAAGUCAAGUGUGCACUGAGGAACGAAACUUCACACCGGACCGGAGGACUGGGCGUAUGCAUCAGAAUGGAUUUGCAUUCAGACCGGAAUUACGCUUCGUCAUUUGCUCAUUGGAGAUGAAAUUGCACGGACGACCAAGACGGGAACAAAAGCGGGCUCCAGAUCUUGAGAGGAAGCUUCAGUACAUCAGUGGAGCUCUUAACAAAUCCACGUGAUUCUGAUCACCGGCGUGUUUCCGUCGCGGGGCUCGGUGACUGACUGACCGUGGCAGUCCAGGACUGAUCAGUGGACUAAUCAAUUCAUAGGAAAGCAGCAGGAAAAGAACAGGAAAAAUACUUAAGACCAUUUAACCUUUUCUGCUUGGCUACUUUAAAAUUGUACUAGUAUAUAACAUUCUCUCAUUUUUCAAAUAAAUGUACCAAACAUAGUAUAACUUUAUAUUAAAAUUAGUAUAAAAUAGGGACACUUAUUUUGAAACAAAGGGAGUAGUAAUAUAGGUGUUCUUCACACCCAAAAAGGCCAAAACAAAGUACUAGUGGAGAGCAUUAUCAGAUAACGACUCCCGUUGUCCAUAGCAGAACUUCUUUCUUUGGCUAAACAAAGCCGUUCCUUUUCGUUUUAAGAUAGGGAACUUUUCCGGUAGUUUAUAGAUGGCGCAUGCAGCCGCCUUGCUUGUUUUAAAUGUUCCAUUAUCAAUGACAAGAACAUGGUUUACAUGUGUACAGUUUGCACCUUCGUAACUUAGUGCAGCGUUGCCGCAGACAAAAAGCAAAAAGAAACUCGUAGUGCAGCAUUACUCGAAUCAGACUAUCAAAUUAGGAGGUAAAAUAGGACACAACAUGUGGAUUUCAUGCGAUUGGUGCGGUGAUUAACUAAUUAACAAACGUGUGAUGCAUCAAUAACUAAUUAACAAACUAGGGCUUUGAUUUUUUACUAUAAAAGAACUAGGACUUUACUAUCUUAAUAUUAUAUUCAUUGUUUAAAUUCAUUCCUUAGUAAAUUUCCUUUCCCCUCCAUUUCCUCUCUCUUGUGCAGCCCCCUCCCCCUCCACUCAGAAUCGACCAGGGCUGUCUAGCCCGACCCAAGGCCUCGUGUGACGGCGAUGCCGGCAGAGAUGGCUAUAGAAAGGUGCCUGAGUCCUUUUCGUGCAUUUUAGGCUAGUAGUAGUUCUAGUUAGUCUUGGCUUUAUGUUGUGGUUUGGCGAUAUGUCAUCGCGAUGCCAGCCUCUGGAGCUUGCGAGCAACGGCCGGUGGUGGUCGCUACCCUCGCAAGUGCCAAUGUCCACAAGCAUGCAUUUUCUCAAUGAGAAGAGGCAAGAUUGAGAAAAAAUAAAGAAACUUAAGUGAAGGUUAGGCUUGAAAGGUUUUCAUGGUGUUUGUAGUGAUGGGAGAAGUGGAGGUCUUGCACUGUUCUCGGACGCGUCUUUGCAAGUUACUAUCCUCGACCCACAUGCUCAUUACGUUGAUGUCCCUACAAAUAUUUAGUGACGUGGCACUUCUGUGUAUGGUGAGACGAGUGUGUAGAACCCGCAUUGUCAUGUGGGAACACCUGCAACAUUUAUGUUCUUUGUGGGAUGAUCCAUGGUUCAUGUUUGGGGACUACAAUGAAACUCUUUGGCAGCACGGUCCUGUUUCUAGUCCCUUGCAUCUCGAGAGUCAGAUGAUGGAGUUCUAUGACUUCGAUAGUGUGUCAGUUAGUGGACUUGGGGUUCUUAGGUGUCCCUUACACGUACGAUAAUGGUCAGCAAGGGGUUCAGACUGUUCGAGUUCAUAUCAAUCGGGCAUGUGCUGAUGAUAAAUGGUGUGAGCUAUACCAGGUUGCUUGCGUUGUGCACCUUGGUACUUCAAGCCUAGACCAUUGCCCAUUGUUGGUUCAGCUAGCAGUGAAGGAGAGAAGGAAAUACUACAAUACCCCGAGCCGGGAUGCAAAAUCAUGUGGGAGCAGGAUCCGACGCUCCCAAAGAUCAUUGAUUCGUGUUGGGAACGUAAGAGACCGACAUGCCAUGUUGGGUUUAUUGCUAUUGCCUAGAAGAGAUGAUGGAAUAUUUGAAAGAGUGGAGCAAAAAACUUGGGCAUGUUACCAGGGAUAUUGAGAAGUUGCGGGAUGAGUUGACGUCUCCCCAAUUAAAAGAAGUGGAUCAUGUCGUGAUUAAACGUGAAAUAAAUGAGUUAGAUGAAGUCCUCUAGGGGGAGAGAUUUUGUGGUUUCAACGAUCACGCAUCACAUGGCUCAAGGAAGGAGAAAGAAAUACAAAUACUAGCAUAAGGGGCUCUUUGAAGAUCAAGGCGGAAUUAUAUACAAAGUCCUCAUAAGGAUGAUGGGUCUCGGAGUUCGGCCCCAUCACACAUGGAGAGGAUGGCUACAUACGACUCCUAGGAAGUAUAAGCAAAGGAUCUAACUCUUAAUCUUGAUGUUAUCCUUGACUAUAAUGGGAAAAAAACUAACCGAGGAGAUGAACGAGGCUUUAUGUGUGCCAUAUAUAGAAAAUGAGAUUUCCGUGCAUUAUUUCAGGUUGGACCUAUGCCGGCUCAAGGUAUUGACAUCUUUCUUGCACGGUUUUAUCAGAGGAAUCGUGAUGUCCUUAAGACCGAAAUUACUGUUGUUGACAUGGAGUUAUGUGAUGUCUACUACGCAACCUUCUCCUUGUAGACGUUGUUGGGCCUCCAAGCGCAGAGGUUUGUAGGACAGUAGAAAUUUUCCCUCAAGUGGGUGACCUCAGGUUUAUCAAUCCGCGGGAGGCGUAGGAUGAAGAUGGUCUCUCUCAAGCAACCCUGCAACCAAAUAACAAAGAGUCUCUUGUGUCCCCAACACACCCAAUACAAUGGUAAGUUGUACAGGUGCACUAGUUCGGCGAAGAGAUGGUGAUACAAGUGCAAUAUGGAUGGUAGAUAUAGGUUUUUGUAAUCUGAACUUACAAAAACAGCAAGGUAACUAGUAACAAAAGUGAGCACGAACGGUAUUGCAAUGCGUGGAAACAAGGCCUAGGGUUCAUACUUUCACUAGUGAAGUUCUCUCAACAAUGAUAACAUAAUUGGAUCAUAUAACUAGCCCUCAACAUGCAACAAAGAGUCACUCCAAAGUCACUAAUAGCGGAGAACAAAUGAAAAGAUUAUUGUCGGGUACGAAACCACCACAAAGUUAUUCUUUGUGAUUGAUCUGUUCAAGAGUCCGUAGUAAAAUAACACAAAGCUAUUCUUUCCGUUCAAUCUUUCAUAGAGUUCGUACUAGAAUAACACCUUAAGAUACAUAUCAACCGAGACCCUAAUAUCACCUACAUACUCCAUUGUCACCUCAAGUAUCCCGGGGCAUGAUUAUACGAUAUGCAUCACAUAAUCUCAGAGUCAUCUAUUCAACCAACACAUAGAACUUCAAAGAGUGCCCCAAAGUUUCUACCGGAGAAUCAAAACGUGUGCCAACCCUUGUGCAUAGGUUCCCAAUGUCACGAACCCGCAAGUUGAUCACCAAAAACAUACAUCAAGUACUCACAUGAAUCCACGUGUGCCAACCCAUAUGCAUAGGUUCCCAAUGUCACGAACCCGCAAGUUGAUCACAACAGAUAGACACGUGCAAGACAUACAUCAAGUGUUCUCAAAGACUCAAUCCGAUAAGAUAACUCCAAAGGGGAAACUCAAUUCAUUACAAGAAGGGAGAGGGGGAAGAACAUCAUAAGAUCCAAUUAUAGUAGCAAAGCCCACGGUACAUCGAGAUCAAGACAUCUCAUGAACACGAGAGAGAGAGAGAGAUCAAACACAUAGCUACCGGUACAUACCCUCAGCCCCAGGGAGAACUACUCCCUCCUCGUCAAGGAGAUCGCCGGGAUGAUGAAGAUGGCCACCGGAGAUGUAUUCCCCCUCCGACAGGGUGCCGGAACGGGCUCCAGAUUGGUUUUUGGUGGCUACAGAGGCUUGCGGCGGCCGAACUCCCGAUCUAGGUUUCUUUCUGGAGGUUUAUGGAUUUAUAGGACCAGUUGGCGGUGGAGUUGCGUCAAGGGGGCCCCUGAGGGGCCCACAAGCUUGGUUGGUGCGGCCUGGGGGGGCACCGACAGGGCUUGUGGCUUCCUCGGGACCCCUCUCCGAUAUCUUUUUCUUCCGGUAUUUUUGAUAUUUUCCAUAAAAAAUCAUCGCAAAAGAAUUAUUCCGUUUGGACUCCGCCUGAAAAAGGGUCAAAAACACGGAAAGAACAGGAACUGGCACUUGGCACUGAAUUAAUAGGUUAGUCCCAAAAAAGAUAUAAAAGGCAUAUAAAACAUCCAAAGUUUGACAAGAUAACAACAUGAAACCAUCAAAAAUUAUAGAUACGUUGGAGAGUAUCAAGCAUCCCCAAGCUUAACUCCUGCUCGUCCUCGAGUAGGGAAGUGAUAAAGAAUGAAUUUUUGAUGCUUUCAUGCUACCUAGCAUAGAUGUCCUUUGUAACUCCUCUUAUGUGACAUGAAUGUUCAGAUCCGUUAGAUUCAAAACAAUAGUUUGCUAUUGAUGUGGAGACAAUAAUACUUCAAGCAAACUAGCAAGGUAAUCAUGAACUUUCAAAAUAAUAAGGCCAAAAGAAAGUUAUCCCUACAAAAUCAUAUAGUCUGGCUAUGCUCUAUCAUCCUUGCACAACGAAUUUAAAUCAUGCACAACCUCGGUAUUGGCCAAGUAAUUGUUUUCACACCUUUACUUUCUCAAACUUUUUCAACUCUCACGCAAUACAUGAGCGUGAGCCAUGGUUAUAGCACUAUAGGUGGAAUGGAGUGGUGGAGGUUGUGAGACAAAAAGGGAGAAGAUGGUCACAUUGACUAGGCAUAUUAAAAAGGCUAUGGAGAUGCCCCUUAAUAGAAAUCAAUGUGAAUGAGUAGGGAAUGCCAUACAAAAGAUGCACUAGAGCUAUAAGUAUGUGAAAGCUCUAAAGGAGAACUAGUGGGUGUGCAUCCAACUUGCUUGCUCACGAAGACCUAGGGCCAUUUUGAGGAAGCCCAUCAUUGGAAUAUACAAGCCAAGUUAUAUAAAAAAAUUCCCACUAGUUAUAUGGUGGUGACAAAACGAGAGGUCUCAAUCAUGAAGAACAUGGUGCUUAUUAUGAAGCACAAGUGUGGAAAGAUAGUAGCAUUGUCCCUUCUCUCUUUUUCUCUCAUUUUUUUGGUGGGCUCUUUGGCCUCUUUUAUUAUUGUGGGCAUCUUUGGCCUCUUUUUGUAAAUGGGCUUCGCUGGCCUCUUUUAUUUCCUCACAUGGGACAAUGCUCCAUCAAUGAUGAUCAUCACAUUUACAACUCAAAACUUAGAGCAAUGAUGACUCUAUAUGAAAUGCCUUCGGUAGUGUACCGUGACAAUGAUCUAGCAUGGCAUAGACAUCAAUGGAAACAUCAUGCUAGCUAUCUUAUGAUCAUGCAAUGGCAAUGUAGAAGCUGUGGCACAUGUCAUGGUGGUAGUUGCAUGGCAAUAUAUCUCGGAAUGGCUUUGAAAAAGCCAUAGUAGGUAGGUAUGGUGGCUGUUUUGAGGGAGGCUAAUGGUGGUUUUAUGCACCGGCGAAAGUUGCACAACACUAAAGAAGAUAGUGAUGGUGGAAGGUGAAAGUGCAUCUAAACCAUGGACUCAACAUUAGUCAUGAAGAACUCAUAUACUUGUUGCAAAAGUUUUAUUAGUAAUCGAAACAAAGCAUUCAACGCAUACUCCUAGGGAAAGGGUUGGUAGGUAUAAACCAUCGCGCGAUCCCGACCGCUACACAAAGGAUGACAAUCAAUAAACUAAUCAUGCUCAAACUUCAUCACAUAGCGGUUCACCAUACGUGCAUGCUACGGGAAUCACUAACUUCAACACAAGUAUCUCUAAAUUCACAACACCAUACUAACAUAACUUAAAUAUUACCACAACCACAUCUCAAAACUAAUUGAGAGGAAUCAAGCUUCUCUUUCUACUCAAUGCACAUGAAGAUGGAAGUUUUCGUAACCCUUUGGAUAACUACCACUUUUGUGACUACUUUCAUAGCAUAAGCCAACUACCAAGACACGCACCGCUGUGCUCUAAAACAUAUAAGUGAAGCACAUAGAGCAAAAUCAACUAGCUCUAAAGAUAUAAGUGAAACACAUGUGAGCUGAAUUGCCUAACUCAAAGGAUAUAAGUGAAGCUCGACAAAAUCACGGUGAGUGCAUGUCUCUCUCUCUAGGUGUGCAGCAAGGAAGAUUGUGACACAACAAAAAUAAAAGACUCCUACGAUACAAGACGCUCCAAGCAAAACACAUAUCAUGUGGUAAAUAAAAAUAUAGCUCCAAGUAAUGUUACCGAUGGAUUGAAGACGAAAGAGGGGAUGCCUUCCCGGGGCAUCCCCAAGCUUAGGCUUUUUAGGCAUCCUUGAAUCAACUUGGGGUGCCUUGGGCAUCCCCAAGCUUGAGCUCUUGCCACUCUAUAUCUCUUUGUCCAUAAGAACUUCACGCAGAACUUGAAAACUUCACAACACAAAACUUAAACAGAAACUCGUGAUAUCAUUAGUAUAAGAAAGUAAAUCACCACUUCCUUAGGUACUAUAGAAAACAUAAAUUAUACUUAUGUUGGUGUUGGGUUGCUGUAUUUUCACUUUUCCAUGGCUAGUACCCUCCGAUACUAUCCAUAGUUUCAUCAAAAUAAGCAACCAACUCAACAAAAACAGAAUCUGUUAACAGCAGACCAGUCUGUAGCAAUCUGUAUACUUCGUAUACUUCUCGUACUUCAAAAAAUCUGAAAAAUUACGACAGUCUGAAGAAAUUGCAUAGAAAUCAGCAGCAAAAAGAAUCAACUCAAAAUCUCUUAAAGAAUAAAAGUGAAAAUUCUUUUCGUGAGCAGAAAGUUUUGUCUUUUUCCAGCAUGAUCAAACAAUCAUCACCAAGGCUAAUCAUAACGGUUUUGCUUGGCAAAAACACAAAAAGAAACACAAAAGACACAAUAAUAACAGAAUUAUGAUGGUGUGGAGAAAAAAAACAGAAAGCAAAAAAGCAAAGAAAAAUGUAUUCAUUGGGUUGCCUCCCAACAAGCGCUAUCGUUUAACGCCCUUAGCUAGGCAUUGAUUUCAAUGAUGCUCACAUAAAAGGUAAGGAUUGAAACACAACGAGAGCAUCAUGGAGCAAAUGGCUUGCACAUUUAAGUCUAACCCACUUCCUAUGCAUAGGGAUUUUGUGAUCAAACAAUUUAUUGGAGCAAGAAUCAACUAGCAUAGGAAGGAAAAACAAGCAUAGCUUCAAAAAUUUCAACAUAUGGAGAGGAAGCUUGAUACUAUUGCAAUAAGUAGAAGCAUAUGAUCCUCUCUCAUAGUAAUUUUCAGUAGCAUCAUGAAUGAAUUCAACAAUAUAACCAGAACCUAAAGCAUUCUUUUCAUGAUCUACAAGCAUAGAAAUUUUACUACUCUCCACAUAAGGAAAUCUAUUCUUAAGAAUAGUAGUGGGAGUAUCGUAAAAGACUUGAGCACUACAAAUUGUGUCCACAAUGAAAAAGCAAGGUUUAGCAAAGGGGUUUUCGAAAGUAUGACAAGCUUUAUCAUCCCUCUUCUUCAAAGCAUAAGUAUCCUCACAAUAAUCAUCAUAGAUAGGGGGCAUGCUUUCAUCAAAAUGAUUUUGAUCAUUCAAAGUGGAAGAACUAAAAAGAUCAUCUUUAUCAAAUAUAGCAUCCCCAAGCUUGUGGCUUUGCAUAUCAUUAGCAUCAUGGGUAUUCAAAGAAUUCAUGCUAAGAACAUUGCAAUCAUGCUCAUCAUUCACAUAUUCUAUGAGAAGCAUUCUAUGCAAUUCUUCUUUCAGCACUUGAGCACAAUUUUCCUUCCCAUAAUGCUCACGAAAGACAUUGAAAAGAUGGAGCAUAUGAGGCAUCCUCAAUUCCAUUUUUUUUUGUUUUCUAGCGAAAGAACAAGAAACAAAAAGAUUCGAUUGCAAGAUCUAAAGAUAUACCUUCAAGCGCUAACCUCCCCGCCAACGGCGCCAAAAAAGAGCUUGAUGUCUACUACACAACCUUCUCCUUGUAGAUGUUGUUGGGCCUCCAAGCGCAGAGGUUUGUAGGAGAGUAGCAAUUUUCCCUCAAGUGGGUGACCUAAGGUUUAUCAAUCUGCGGGAGGCAUAGGAUGAAGAUGGUCUCUCUCAAGCAACCCUGCAACCAAAUAACAAAGAGUCUCUUGUGUCCCCAACACACCCAAUACAAUGGUAAGUUGUAUAGGUGCACUAGUUCGGCGAAGAGAUGGUGAUACAAGUGCAAUAUGGAUGGUAGAUACAGGUUUUUGUAAUAUGAAAUUACAAAAACAGCAAGGUAACCCACUAGAUACUCCAUUGUCACCUAGAUACUCCAUUGUCACCUCAAGUAUCCGUGGGCAUGAUUAUAUGAUAUGCAUCACAUAAUCUCAGAAUCAUCUAUUCAACCAACACAUAGAACUUCAAAGACUGCUCCAAAGUUUCUACCGGAGAGUCAAAACGUGUGCAAACCCCUGUGCAUAGGUUCCCAAUGUCACAAACCCGCAAGUUGAUCACCAAAAACAUACAUCAAGUACUCACAUGAAUCCACGUGUGCCAGCCCAUAUGAACAGGUUCCCAAUGUCACGAACCCGCAAGUUGAUCACAACAGAUAGACACGUGCAAGACAUACAUCAAGUGUUCUCAAAGACUCAAUCUGAUAAGAUAACUCCAAAGGGAAAACUCAAUUCAUUACAAGAAGGGAGAGGGGGAAGAACAUCAUAAGAUCCAACUAUAGUAGCAAAGCCCACGGUACAUCGAGAUCAAGACAUCUCAAGAACACGAGAGAGAGAGAGAGAUCAAACACAUAGCUACUGGUACAUACCCUCAGCCCCGAGGGAGAACUACUCCCUCCUCGUCAAGGAGAUCGUCGGGAUGAUGAAGAUGGCCACCGGAGAUGCAUUCCCCUCCGACAAGGUGCCGGAACGGGCUCCGGAUUGGUUUUUGGUGGCUAUAGAGGCUUGCGGCGGCGGAACUCCCGAUCUAGGUUUCUUUCUGGAGGUUUCUGGAUUUAUAGGACCACGUGGCGGUGGAGUUGCGUCAAGUGGGCCCCUGAGGGGCCCACAAGCUUGGUUGGUGCGGCCUGGGGGGGGGGGGGGNGGGGGGGGGGGGGGCGACAGGGCUUGUGGCUUCCUCGAGACCCCUCUCCGGUAUCUUUUUCUUCCGGUAUUUUUGAUAUUUUCCAUAAAAACUCAUCGCGAAAGAAUUAUUCCGUUUGGACUCCGCCUGAAAAAGGGUAAAAAACACGGAAAGAACAGGAACUGGCACUUGACACUGAAUUAAUAGGUUAGUCCAAAAAAGAUAUAAAAGGCAUAUAAAACAUCCAAAGUUUGACAAGAUAACAACAUGAAACCAUCAAAAAUUAUAGAUACAUUGGAGACGUAUGAUUAUGCCGAAAGGAGUAACUCGCACCACUACGGUUUUGAUUCCUAAAGUUCCUCUUCAUAAAGAAUUGAAUGAUUUAAGUCAUGUCCGUUUGUGUAACGUGGUCUACAAAAUUGUCUCGAAGUUCUUAGCUAAUCGACUUUGAGAGUGUCUUAUGGGACACAUCUCAAAAAACCAAAGCGCUUUUCUUUCAGACCGCCUCAUUUCAGACAAUUCUAUCAUUUUAUUUGAGUGUAUCCAUCAUAUACAUGCCUUUAAGGGUAGUACUGUUUUUUCUUCCUACAAGUUGGAGUUCGUGGAUAUUCUUUGAGAAAGCAUUACUAAAGUGGCAUUUUUCUCAAGUCUCCAUUUCCCAGAUAAUAGCUUGUGUAACCUUGGUAAAAUAUUAUGUUAAGCUCAACGGCAAGUUGGUGGAAGCCUUCACACCUUUGAGAGGGUUCCGCUAAGGUCACACACUGUCCUCUUUUUCUUCCUUUUUGUUGUUGGUGGCUUGUAUGCUUUAGUGCAUUGGUCCAUUGCAAUGGAAUAUUUGGAGGGAGUUACGAUAUGUCGCACUGCUCUUGUCAUUUCACAUCUCUUAAUUGUUGAUGAGUAUUUGCUAUUUUUUAGCUUCUAUACAAAAACAUAGAUUGUCAAAAGUUUUUUGAACACUUAUGCUUCAUCAAAGGGCUAAGUUAUUAAUCAAAGUGUUCCAUCCUUUUCUACAACUUCCAAGAUGAUUUUGUUUUGGAUGUGAAGAAUUCCUUUGAGAUUACACAACAAGUUUUUGACCCAGGGUAUUUGGAUUGCAUGUGUCGCAUGGGAGAAUGCGCAAGGGCAUUUUUGAGGAUAGUCAAGCAAGCUUAAGUAGGAGGCUUGUUGAUUGGAGCGAACAAUAUAUCUCACUUGGUAAUAAGGAAAUACUUAACAAAUCAUUAGCCUGAGCUAUGCUCACGCAUGUGUUCCAGCUGCCUACAUCGGUUUGCAAUGAUAUGACACACAUGAUGAGGUAGUACUGGUGGGGUGUGGGUAAAAGAAAAAUGGCUUGGCUCAACUUGGACAAAAAUGAUGCUUCCAAAGUCCAAAGGUAUUUUGGGAUUUUGAGAUAUGCGAGCAUUUAACCAAUGCCUUAUUACGAAACAUGAUUACCGUUUGCUUGAUAACCCGGAUAGUUUAUGUGCACGUUUACUUAAGGCAAAAUAUUACAGUGAUGAAAAUCUUUCGAAUACCAUGUUCACUGAUAACUCUUCUGCAGCGCGGAAAGGAAUAGAGCAUGGUUUGAAGCUUGUGAAGAGAGGAAUUAUAUGGAGCAUAUGAGCGAACUUGGUGGUAUCCCUCAAGGGCCCUCCUUUAUCCCUACUACCCCAAAGAGAAAAUGUCGAUUGAAUUUUAAUGUUGCUUUCAGGUUGCUCUCACAUGGUGUGUGAUACAUCCAUUUUGCAGCAUGAAUUUCUAUAGAUGUUUGUUAUAUUUGCAGUCAUUAUUUCACCUUAUAAUGCAAUCCUAAUUUCUUUUUUUCUCUUAUUUUACAAGAUUUAUACAAAAAUAGAAAUUAUGGACAACUCAAAUUCUGGACCGGAAAGGGCUAUAAAAGAGUUGGAUGUUUUUUGGAACUCUAAAUGACCUGAAAGUUGACGGAGGGGGGGGGGGGGGGGGGGUUGAAAUAUAUUAAAAUUAUUGGUGAAAGAACCAAUAGAGGGGGACCCACCAGGUGGUCACAAGCUUGGUGGGCACACCCUAUGUCGUGGUUUUGUCACGACAGAUGUCCUCAUGAAAGGACUUAUAUUAGUGGCGAGGCCAUCGUCGUAGUGUGGCGACUCGAAGAGGUUGGUCGGGCAUGGGAGACGGAUUUACCCAGGUUCACCCUCUCCGAUGAAGGUAAAAACCUACGUCCUGCUUUUGUUUCUAUAUUGAUAGAGAUCUCGAUUACAAAGGUGCGGAAUAGCUAACCAAGCUCUCAAGAGUUUCUUGCUUGAUCUUUCUAGCUCGAGGGCCCCCCUUUAUAUAUUGGUAGAGGCCUCGAGUUUACAACAGUGUCUGGGUCAAAUAAGCACCCAUGACCAACUACAGUUCUAUUUCAUCUUGCCUCCCAAGUUAGGAAAGCUUGUGGCGCCUCCCACCUUGUGGGCCUUGAAUCACCGUCUUCUGGUGUUGGGACGUGAGGCAACUCAAUUGGUGAGUCCUUUGGCUCGUCCUCCUCUCUUCUCUAUGGCCCAUCGGGCACAUCAUCCUUAAGACUCCAAUGGCCUAACCGUCCCAAACGACGGGUUAUAUCGUGGGGUAAUAUCCCCGACAUUAGGCCCCAGGUUGAUUUCAACUUGUUCAUGUCAAGCUUCAUUGACCAAACUAUGAGCCGUCAAUCUUUCGCGCUUUAGGUGUGAAACCAAACUUGAAUCCAGGUUAAAAUUACGCCGGGUCAUUUCUUCUUCUUUGAUACUUAGCACCCUUUCAAUCUGUAUUCAUAUGAUGUCAUCAUGCUGACUGCUGUCAUCGAGGUCAUCAUAGCGAAUCUUUUGAAAAAACAACACUAAAUCCGGUCUCACGCAAAAAUCUAGGCGUAAACCUAGCCACUAAUUUCCUGCGAUCGUUCCAUUUGAGCCCCCCUCUUCUCCUUAUAAAUAGACGGGCGAACCCCCGUGCUAUCCUUUCCUUCUUCUUCUUCCUCGUGCUCCUCCUCUCGCUGAGCACGCCGGAGUCCCGAAGACGACGACCAGACCGCUCGAACACGCUGCCUGCACCACCAGAUCUCGCUCACGGCCGGUGGAUUGAAACCAUCCGAGUCUUUCUUCGACGAGAUCUGACUAGUUGCCCUGCUGAUCCAUAAGAUCUUCAUGCCUUGUGCCUUCAUAGGCUCGUCGCCGGCCUCAUCUUACAUUCCUAGUACUUAGAUCCAAAAGGAAUCACCUUAGGAGAACAUGUAUGAACACCAUGAGUUUCGGUCUUUUCGCCAGUUUUAGAACAUAUAUUCCUCUGUUUUCUGCUUAUACUUAGAUCCACCGCAAGAGAUGCCACUUAUUGCAACCUGAUUGUGAGGAAUUUCUUCUAAGUUCCUCAUGGAGUUUAUCUUUAAAAAUCCUUUUCUUGUUGUUACCGGCUUAGCACCUAGUUAUAGCAUUGACCGGCUUAGGACAUUGUUAAGCAAUAAUCUUGGCGACUUAAAUAUGCUGCUAGUAUCACACAUUGGCUUUUUUUGACUUAAACAUUCUUCAAUCCCAGGCCCCAAGAUAUUGGUCCCAAUUCUAUGACCAAUAUAUGUUAGUUCCAAGUCUUAUGUGAAGUAUAUCUCCAGAUUGAGCCAUCAGUGACUCUAUUUAGGGAGUUCUUUUAUGUCAACCGCCAAAGUGAAGUCAAGAACGGUCCUUCUUGUGAACUUGGUGGGAUCUCCUUCCAGAAAAGCAAAAAAUAGCUUGUUCCCUGAAUCAAAAUUGGCGAGUCAUCCCACAUGAUGGCAUAAGACCUGGUUCUACUGCAGAAAUACCGCUCCUGCAGAUGAAAAACCAUUGUCGGGUUACAGAUUGGAGAGGAUCGGUAACGACGUGGUACUCCCGGUUGGCCAACAGACGAAGGGAGGGAUACGAUGGCCCCUGCCCAUACAAAGUUAAUGGCCUUGGUUGCUCGUGGCCUAACCGGGAUCGACUUGAUCCGUUGCUAGAUAAGGUGGCGCAUCGAGCCUGUCAAUGUAAGGUCCGUCUUAAUGUGCGACUAUUCACGCGCCUCAUCCUACGUUCAACGCUUCUCCAUCCAAGAUUUAUUUGAUGAUGCUCUUAAUAAAGAGAUGAAGAAGUUUUUCUCCAAAUCAAAGGAGAGGAGCAGCAUUACUGGUUUAGGCCCAUUCUAUCUGCUAAAUCCUCCUCCAUUGGUAUUGAUCUUUUCUCAUUAAGUAUACUUUGUUCCUUCGUUGAUUUUAUUUUGACCCAUCAUCUUUAUCAUGCUCUUUUGUUUGUAGGAGGAUUCUAAAUUUUGGAAAGACACACCUCAGAUGCAUGUUCCUUCCAUGAGCCAAGGAAAUGAUUCGGCUUGGGGUGACCCGCUCUGGGCUCAUAUUCAGAAGAACUAUCUGAGGUAGAACUUGACUCACUUGGCCGCUUGUUUACCAAAGUCGCUGACACACCUUCUUAUCACGGUGACUCUGAAGCCAACCAAGCCGGCGAUGCUGAGGUAAUUCCAAUUUCUUCGAGUUCCUCAGAAAAGUUUGCUGCGAUAAGGAGUACGCAAGCCAUUCAGAAGGUUAAAAUGCCAAAUCAAGCCACUCAUUUAGCUACCAAUUUUAUCUUGAAGAAAACGCAGCUCACUAGUCAAUCAAAAUGCAAGACCCGAAGUGACGUGGGCGAGCUAGACCCAGGCUUAUCAAAUGCACCGCCGGCUCGCAAGCCUCGUGUUGAGGUACCGUAUAAUUUUGCCGACUUUUUUCUAAAGUUGGUCUCUUAAAAUGAGCUCUUAGUACUUAACUUCUUUUUUAUCAUGAAUCUUCCCCAUAUUUGGGCGCCUCAUCAGCAACUCUUCCCACUUUCAAUAUCAACCACGGGUAAAUUUCUAAUCGUGACCUAAUUUCUUAUGUUUAUCUUCCUUAGCAUAAUUUUGAUUUCUGAUCUGUGAAGGGCCAAGGCAACUUUAUCUAGUCGUGCUGCCGCGUCAUGUUGUGGUGUUGAGAACCAAGAUAUUUUGAACUCUCAAAUGGACAACACAACCUCUGAAGUUGAUAUUCCUGAAGAAAACAUUCCAGAUGCUAGGACUGAUCUGACAGCUGUUGUCGGGACAUCAUAAAUGGUUGAACCGAUUUUAAUGGACAAACCAGCAAAGAUUAUAAGUCCCUUAGUCGCUCCUCCUAUUCAUCCACCAAGUCCGGCGACUCAUGUGGAUGAUCUUGUUCCACGAGUUGACCAAAACACUCCAGAUGUUUUUCUUAUAAAGGAACAAUUCCAGGCUCAUGUUGCUUCUACCUCCCUUGCUAAGAUUGUUGUUGAGGAAGAAAUAGUGAAUUUGGAAAAUGGAAAGACGAAUUGGAGCUCAUGAAUAUGUAUCUAUUGAGUAUUGAAGAGAUCCACCAGCAGUACUUGACCCGGCUGUCUAAAACCAGGAAACUAAAGCCAAUAUGAUUCAUGCACUCAAGGAGAAAUACGAGGUAAAAACUCCCGCUUGACUGUUUCUAAUAUCAACUUCUUUCUUUGUCUUUCUACUAUCUCCAAUCCCCAAGAGUUGGUUUUUUAUAAAUAUGGUAAGUCGGCUCUUUUGAAACUGUUAAAUGUGAGCUUGCGUCCGUAGCCCCCAUGGACGGAGUUGUUAUGAUGAUAACAAGUCGGUACUGCUUCAAGAUGUAAUUUUAGGUGAGAUUCGACCCGUAGCCCCCAAGGUCCGGCUCAUCCCGUGAGAUGAGGCGGGUCUUCCCUUUUUUCCGACAUUUCCUUUUUCUUUUUAUAAAGAACUGAUAUGCAUUAGCCCCCAAGUGCUGAGUGUAUUGCGUGCAAUACGAUGGGGACUUCAGAAAAUAUUUUCUCAUCAUGAUCUUCUUAAGCCAUUUUCAAGGCGUGUUAUAACCAUAAUUUUUUGAUAAACUUUGUGCAUCUGUCAUAGNUCAAGCGCAGGACUGCUACCUCUUGGAAUUGCGUUAGUUUCCCCUUAAAGAGGAAAGGGUGAUACAGCGAAGUAGAUAAUUAUUUCCCUCAGUUUGUUGAGAACCAAGGUAUCAAUCAAGUAUGAGGAACAAGCAAGGCCUCAAUGGUAGUAUCUGCAUAAAUAUCAAACACUUGCACCCAACGCUAUAAAGGGGUUGCCAAUCCCUUCAGAGUNNNNNNNNNNNNNNNNNNNNGAUGAGAUCUGAUAGAGAUAGAUAUAAAAUAUUGAUAGAUCUGAAAGUAAAAAUAAAGUAAAUAAAUUGCAGCAAAGUAUUUUUUGGUAUUUUUGGUUUAUAGAUCUGAAAAUAUAAUAUGGAAAAUGGACCCCGGGGCUAUAGGUUUCACUAGAGGCUUCUCUCAUAAAGGAAAAUGAUACGGUGGGUGAACAAAUUACUGUCGAGCAAUUGAUAGAAAAGCGAAUAAUCAUGAAGAUAUCUAAGGCAAUGAUUAUGCAUAUAUGCAUCAUGUCCAUAUCAAGUAGACGAAAAUGAUUAUGCAUCUACUACUAUUACUCCAUACAUCGACCUACUCGUGCCUGCAUCUAGAGUAUUAAGUUCAUGAAGAACAGAGUAACGCAUUAAGUAAGAUGACAUGAUGUAGAGGGAUAAACUCAAGCAAUAUGAUGAAAACCCCAUCUUUUUAUCCUUGAUGGCAACAAUACAAUACGUGCCUCGCUACCCGUACUGUCACUAGGUGAGGACACUGCAAGAUUGAACCCAAAACUAGGCACUUCUCACAUUGCAAGAAUUACCAAUCUAGUUGGCCAAACCAAACCAAUAACUCGAAGAGACUUGCAAAGAUAUGAAAUCAUGCAUAUGAGAAUUCAGAAGAGACUCGAAUAAUGUUCAUAGAUAAUCUGAACAUAAACUAACAAUUCACCGGAUCUCUACAAACCCAUCGCAAAAGACUAUUACAUCGGAUAGAUCUCCAUGAAGAUCAUUAAGAACAUGGUAUUGAAGAUCAAAGAGAGAGAAGAAGCCAUCUAGUUACUAGCUAUGGACCUGUAGGUUUAUGGUGAACUACUCAUGCUUCAUCAGAGGGGCAAUGGAGUUGAUCAAUUCCCUCUCCGACAGAUUACCGAAAAAGGCUCCUAGAUUGGAUCUCUCGGAAACAAAGGCUCCCGGUGGAGUAAAAGUAUUUUCGUGGCUCUUUUUUGCAAUACUGGAGUAUUUGGGAAUUUAUAAAACAAGAAUUAGGGUUAGGAGACCUGCAGGGGGCCCACAAGCCAGGGGGCACGACCACCCCCUAGGGCGCACCCUGCAGGCUUGUGGCCUCCCGGCAACUGCCUUGCCCCCUACUCCAAGUCUGUUACGUGUCUUCUGGUCCAAGAAAAAUAUUUUCGGAUAUUUUAUUCUGUUUGGACUCCGUUUAAUAUUCCUUAUCUGCAAUAUUGAAAAACACGGAAAAAACAGAAACUUGCACUAGGCUCUACAUUAAUAGGUUAGUCCCAAAAAUAAUAUAAAACAACAUAUAAAUGCAUAUAUAACAUCCAAAACAUAUAAUAUUGUUGGAAAUAUGCCCUAGAGGCAAUGAUAAAUAGUUAUUAUUAUAUUUCCUGUUUAAAGAUAAUCGUUUAUAAUCCAUGCUACAAUUGUAUUGAAUGAAAACAUAGCUACAUGUGUGGAUACAUAGACAAAACAAUGUCCCUAGCAAGCCUCUAGUUGGCUAGCCAGUUGAUCAAGGAUAGUCAAGGUUUUCUGACUAUGUGCAAGUGUUGUUGCUUGAUAACUCGAUCACAUCAUUAGGAGAAUCAUGUGAUGGAUUAGACCCAAACUAUGAACGUAGAAUAUUGAUCGUGUCAUUUUAUUGCUAUUGUUUUCUGCGUGUCAAGUAUUUAUUCCUAUGACCAUGAGAUCAUAUAACUCACUGGCACCGGAGGAAUACCUUGUGUGCAUCAAACGUCAGAACGUAACUGGGUGACUAUAAAGGUGUUCUACAGGUAUCUCCAAAGGUGUCCGUUGAGUUAGUAUGGAUCAAGACUAGGAUUUGUCACUCCGUAUGACGGAGAGGUAUCUCGGGGCCCACUCGGUAAUACACCAUCACACACAAGUCUUGCAAGCAAUGUGACUAAGUGUAAGUCACGGGAUCUUGUAUUACGGAACGAGUAACGAGACUUGCCGGUAACGAUAUUGAAAUAGGUAUGCGGAUACCGACGAUCGAAUCUCGGGCAAGUAACAUACCGAAGGACUAAGGGAAUGACAUACAGGAUUAUAUGAAUCCUUGACACUGAGGUUCAACUGAUAAGAUCUUCAGAGAAUAUGUAGGAUCCAAUAUGGGCAUCCAGGUCCCGCUAUUGGAUAUUGACCGAGGAGUGCCUCGGGGCAUGUAUACAUAGUUCUCGAACCCGCAGGGUCUGCACACUUAAGGUUCGAUGAUGUUUUACUAUAGUUGAGUUAUAUGUGUGGUUACCGAAUGUUGUUCGUAGUCCCGGAUGAGAUCACAGACGUCAUGAGGGUUUCCGGAAUGGUCCGCAAACGAUGAUUGAUAUAUAGGAUGGUUUCAUUUGGUCACCGGAAAGUUUCGGGCAAUUCCGGCAGUGUACCGGGAGUGAUGAAUGGGUUCCGGGAGUUCAUCGGGAGGGGCCCACCCACCCGGGAGUGAGCCCAAGGCACUAGGGUGGUGCCACAAGUCCCUAGUGGGCUGGUGGAGUCAUCCCAAAGGGGCAUGGCGCCACAUAAAUAAAUACCAAAAGAAAAUACAAGGAAAAGGGAAAAAGGGGAGGUGGGAAGGAAGGGGAGGACUCCUCCUUCCCCAAACCGAAUUGGAGGAGGAGUCCUCCUCCUCCUAGCGCCGGCGCACCCCUUGAGGGCUUGGCGCUCAAGGAAAACCCCUCCCCCUCCCUCCUAUAUAUAGUGGUGUUUUAGGGCUGAUGUGAGACAACUUUUGCCACGUGCAUCUCAACCCUAGACCACAUAGUUCUACCUCUAGAUCGGAUUUCUGCGGAGCUUGUGCGGAGCCCUGCAGGAGUAGAUCAUCACCACCACCAGAGCGCCGCCACGGUGCCGGAGAACUCAUCUAUUUCUCUGUCUUGCUUGCUGGAUCAAGAAGGCCGAGAUCAUCGUCGAGUUGUACGUGUGCUAAACGCAGAGGUGCCGUCCGUUCGGCACUAGAUCGGAACGGAUUGUGGGACGGAUCGCGGGACGGUUCGAGGGACGUGAAGACGUUCCACUACAUCAACUGUGUUUAUUAAACGCUUCCUACUGUGCGAUCUACAAGGGUACGUAGAUCCAAAUCUCCUCUCGUAGAUGGACAUGACCAUGAUAGGUCUUCGUGUGCGUAGGAAAUUUUUUGUUUCCCAUGCAACGUUCCCCAUCAAAUAUAAUAGCAUGGAACAAAAAAAAUUAUAGAUACGUUGGAGACGUAUCAAGGACCGUCUUGAGCAGGCUAUGAAAUUGGCGAAAAUCACCCUCUUGAACCGUGCCGAAAAGGAUGAGGGGAAACUUGGUCCUUUGAAAGAAAAUUAUUCCAUUCUGAUAAAGCAACUCAACUAGAUGCUAACUGCCAUCUUUGGUAAGAUCUUGCAACCUUUAUUCCUUUGAGCUUAUUUAGAUUGAUAUGAAGGAAAAAGGGGGCGACUCAAAGUGUACUUUGUCUUUUGUGUGUAGGCUGAACACAUCAGUCCCUCGUGCAUUUGCCUAUUAUGAAGCUGUUUUGUGUGUAGGCCGAACACAUCAGUCCCUCGUGCAGUUGCCUAUUAUGAAGCUGAAGGCAAUAAGACGUGCCCACCGAUCUUGUGGGCCCUUGGCAGGUCUCUGGCGCCCAUCUUCUCCUAUAUGGUGUCAUUUACCCUAGAAAAAGUUCAUAAGAUUACUUUUGAGAUGAAGCGCUACCGUCUCGAGGCGAAACCUGGGCAGGAGCACUUUUGCUCUCCGGCGGAGCAAUUCCGUCAUGGAAACCUCCCUGUGGGUGGGGGAAAUUGAAGCCAUCGCCAUCACCAACGAUUCCCUCAUGGUGGGACGACCAAUCUUCAUCAACAUCUUCACCAACACCAUAUCAUGUGAAACCCUAGUUCAUCUCUUGUAUUUAAUCUUUGUCUCAAAACCUCCGAUUGGUACCUGGGGGUUGCUACUAGUGUUGAUUACACCUUGUAGUUGAUGCUACUUGGUUUACUUGGUGUAAGGUUAUAUGUUUAGAUCCUUAAGCAUAUUCACUACAUAUCUCAUCUUGAACAUGAUUACGAUUUGUGACUAGUUACUUUUUUCUUGAGUACAUGUGAUAAUUCUUGUUAUAAGUAAUUAUGUGAUGUUGGUAUUCAUUUGAUAUUUUGAUGAUGUGUAUGUUGCUCUUAGUUUAGUGGUGUCAUGUGAACGUCGACUACGUGACACUUCAACAUAUUUGGUCCUAAGGGAAAACACUCGGGAGUAAUAAGCAGAUGAUGGGUUGCAAGAGUGAUAAGAGCUUAAACCCUAAUUUAUGCGUUAUUCCGUAAGGGUCUGAUUUGGAUCCAUAUGUUUCAUGCGAUGGCUAGAGUUAUCGUAAUCCUUCUUUUGUAGUUGCGGAUGCUUGCUAGAGGGGGUAAUCAUAAGAGGGUUGUUUGUUCAAGUAAGGACAACAACCUAGCACCGGUCGACCCACAUAUCAAAUUAUCAAAGUACCGCACAAAAAUCAACUAAAUAUGAUGAGCGUGACUAGACAACAAUUCCCAUAUGUCCACGAGAGUGUUUUGGUUUAUAUAAGAGAACUUCCAGUCUUCUCCUUUUCUACAAAAAGGAUUUGGCCACCUUGCUGCACCUUAGUUACAAUUAUUACUUGUUACUCGUUGCAAAUUACACUACUGUAAAAAUAUAUAUUACUGUUGCUCUCAUUGCGUGCAGGAAUCACUUUGCUGAAAACCACUUGUCAUUUCCUUCUGCUUCUCAUUGGGUUCAACGAUCUUACUUAUCGAAAGGACUAAGAUUGAUUCCCUAUACUUGUGGGUCAUCAGUGCAUAACAUGGUCAUCAUGCUCGUUUGGAGGAUCUAGCAACUACACUUGGAUUUAACCCACGGUAAGGAGAGCAUACUUACUCAAGUGCCGGUUGAUUUUUUGUAGAGUUAUUUGAACUAUAUCUUAGAUGCUCGAAAAUACUCUACAGAGGAGAUGAUCAAAGGAAAGAUGCAUGCAUAGUCAAGUGCCCUGAACUUUACCGUGUAUAGCACCACCAAGCAAUAUGACUGAAUUAUCCGUGGAUAGUUCUUUGGUGGAUGCUGAUGGAACAACGACAACCAGGAUGAUUUUGCGGAGACAUGAUGACUCAGUAACUUUUUGUGCUCUGUAUGACUCCGGUCAAGAUGUGACUAAUCUUGUAUAUACAAAAUUAGGAGAACUCUCACAAACCUUUGUGGAGACCAUUUGUGUUGACAAGCCAAAGCAAUCCUUUGAUAUUCUCAAGUAAGCUUUUAUUGAGGUCGUGUGUUGGUUCUAUUUCAGUGAAAUAUUUGUGAUAGAGACAUAUGCAUGUGGGCAUUGGAGUUGGGAUAAGGGGUAGAUGUAUUCGUGUGGGGUGGAUUUCGAAGGGAAGGUUGCACAAUAGACGGAGAUCCUUUGAGAAAGAUUGAAAUGAAUGUACUUAUAGAAUGAUCCAUAUCGAAUAGAUACGGUACUAGUUUACACAGAGAAUGUCUCAUAGCACAAAAAUGGCAGCAAAUGAGUGCAACUUCGAGUAACAAUGAGUUGAUGCUUACGACUUCCUGUUUAUCUGCAAUGAGGCACUUGCGGCGGAGAUACAUGCAUUUCUGAGAAAAGGCUAGAAACGUCGUACCCUCUCAGGCCGAUGGCUUCGUGUUUAUAUAACAGGGUCGCGACUUCCCUGAUAGUCUACAAGUAGCUGGGAUUAUAAUCUUGUUAAACAAGAGAUAGACCAGGGGGAAAUAUAUUUAAGUUACAUGGAUAGAGAUAAAGCCCAACAAUAUCUCCUAAUCUAACUUGCGGUACAAGACUAGCUCCAACUGUCGUAGAAUGCUAUAGGAUAGGUUACGUUUAACACCCUCCCUUAAUCACAACUGCGUAGGUUAAGGUGACAUUUGAAUUCUUCAAGAUUUCUUGUAGGCAAUGCCUUUGUAAAACCAUCUGCAACCUGGUCCCUUGAGUGUAUGAACCGAAUUUCCAAUUGCUUGUUUGCAACUCGUUCCGUGACAAAGUGGAAAUCUAUCUCAAUAUGCUUUGUUCUUGCAUGAAAGACGGGGUUAGCAGACAAAUAAGUAGCCCCAAGAUUGUCACACCAUUAACAAUGGGCUUGAGUGCAUUUUACACCAAGUUCUCUCAACAUGGAUUGCACCCAAAUAAUCUGUGAUGUAGCAUUUGCUAAUGCCUUAUACUCAGCCUCUGUACUUGAGCUUGAUACAGUUGCUUGUUUCUUUGCACACCAUGAUAUAAUAUUUGGACCAUAAAAUACUGCUAAUCCACGAGUGGACUUUCUGUAGCCUUCUUCCACUUUGCAUCACCUAGGGCUUCAUCAAGGGUGCUUGGUUUUCCUGUAGAGCAAGCAAGGCCAAACUUGGUUUUGUAAUUGAUAUGUGGAAUUACCCUUGAUUGAAGACAUGUACGUGGCGACAGAGUGUAGAUUGGCGUAGAGAAUCCAACGUCUGCAACGAGAUCAUCUUCUGUGGCUUUUGGUUGAUGCAGAGUUGAUGAAGACGACGCAGAAGAUCCCGCUCCGGCAGCAGCGGAGGAUCUCGCAGCAGCAACCUCAGCAACAAUGUCUCGCUCCCCGGUCAACCGACCAGGUGAUUCCAUUACAGAUUUGCGUGCUAGCGCAAGACCACACGCUGGCUUGGCAUCACGUGUAGAUGUGGGGCCCGCCUUCAGGCCAGCAGUUUGCGGCCACACGCGUGGUGGUUGCAGGUUCGUUGUCGUUGCGCGUGGAGGCCGACGCGGUUUCUGCAGUUCCAUCGUGUUGCAGCAGCUCGAAUCCCGAUGCAGAUUUGCUGCUGUCCUGCUGCAGCGAAGAUCCAGAGGGGGAUAUGCUCCCUUGAGGCUGACACAUAAAAUGUUGCGUGUUUUGCAUCAUUUUCCAGCGUUUCUGCUCCACCUGAAGUAUCUGCAUCAUCAUAAGACUCAUGCAGGAUGUGAGGAUUAGCCAACAUAUGAUCAUUACAAUUAUUAACCUCCCCACAAUCAACUCCGGUAAGAUGAGACGGUAGGAGUAAGAUUUGUUGGCGAAGAAGAGCUCCAGCAUUAGGGUGGAGAUUAGCAAAGGGGAACUUGGUCUCAUCAAAUAUAACAUCACGAGAGAUAUAGACUCGACCACUGGAGACGUCGAGACACUUUACUCCUUUAUGAAGAGGGCUAUAGCCAAUGAAGACGCAUUGCUUUGCCCGAAACAUGAGUUUGCAGUUGUUGUAUGGCCUAAGAUUGGGCCAACAGGCACAACCAAACACACGAAGAGAGGUGCAAUCUGGUUUGGUGUGAAGCAGCUUUUCAGUGGGUGUUUCAUUGUGGAUAACACGGCUAGGUAAUAUAUUUAUGAGAUGAACUGCAGUGAGGAAGGCCUCAUCCCAAAAUUUGAGGGGUAUGGAGGCUCGUGCUAGGAGAGCUAGGCCAACUUCAACAAUGUGUCUAUGUUUGCGCUCAGCAGACCCAUUUUGUUGAUGGGCAUGCGGACAUGACACAUGAUGAGGAACUCCAAGAGUCUGAAAGAAGGAGUUUAGUUUUUCAUAUUCUCCUCCCCAAUCAGACUGGACAGCUAUGAUUUUUGUGUCAAAUUUUCGUUCAACGAGUGCUUGGAAGUUUUUGAACACUUCAAAAAUGUCGGAUCGUUUCUUAAGAAGAUAGAUCCAAGAGUAUUUGAUGUAGUCAUCAAUAAAGCUAACGUAGUAGGAAUGUCUACCAUAUGAGGGAGCAGGUCCCCAAACAUCGGAAAACACAAGCUGCAAAGGUUUUGUAGAGAUGUUGGUAGAAAUUGAAUAGGGCAACUGAUGACUCUUAGCUUGUUGACAUGAAUCACAAACUGUUUCAGCAUUAUGCUCUCCAACAUAUGAGAGUUUAUUCUUUCUAAUCAAUCGUUCAACUAAAGAAAAAGCUGCAUGACCUAGCCUAUCGUGCCAUCAUGAAGAGGAUAGUUUGGUGGCACUGAAAACUUGUUUAUUGAAUAUUCUAAUCUCCGGAAUGUGUGGGUAAAGCCCACAGACGCAUCUACCUCGAUAGAGAACCUUCUUCGUUACCUGAUCCUUGAUCAAAAAGAAGAAAGGGUGAAACUCAAGGAAGACAUGGUUAUCAAUGGCAAUGCGAUGGACAAAGAGCAGAUUUUUGGAAGCACUAGGAACAUGCAGGAUUUUUCGUAGGUGAAUUUUUCUGUGGGGAGUUUUAAUAAUUGAAUGACCAAUGCGACAAAUCUCCAUACCUUCUCCACUAGAGUGUGGAUGUUGUCUUUUCUGCGGUACUUCUCCCGCAUGGUCACCUUCUCAAGUUCGCCGGUGAUGUGGUUCGUGGCUCCACUGUCCACGUACCAGCUUGUGUUUACUCCAUAGGAGCCAUCAACAGCUCCGGCCACCUUCUCGUCCUGGGAGGAAUCACCAUCAUCAUCAAAGCGAUACCAACAAUCCUUGGCCGAGUGUCCAAGUUUGCCACAGAUCUAACACUUGACAACAUCUGAUCGUUUUUUGGAGGAGGAGUUUUGGCGGCCCUUGUUGUUGGUGGAGGAGGGUCGACCACCAUUGCCGCGGGAGUCACCGCGGUCACCACGUGAGUUGUUGUUGUAGAUCCCUUUGCCGCGGUUUGUUCCACGGCCACGACCACCAUGACCGCGCGUGGCGGCAUUAGCCGAUGACUUGAACCCACCGGAGUUUGCGCCUUGGAAGAGUGCCACCCUUUGAUCAAAGUUGCCCAUCUGAGAAAACAAUUUGUCAAGGGUGACAGGUUCGGCGCGUGCGUCGAGGGCGGAGACGAGCGGCUGGUAAUCCAUGUUGAGGCCAACCACAAUGUAGGAGAUGAGCUCGUCGUUGUCAAGUGGCUUGCCGGCAGCAGCCAUCUCAUCAGCCAGGGAGCGCAUAUCCGCGAAGAAGGUUACAACAAUUUGGUUUCCCUUCUGCACGUUCGUGAGGGUGAUGCGGAUGUUGUUGACGCGGGACAUCGACUACGACGAAAAAAUGUUCGCCAGAGCGGUCCAGAGUUCGUGUGCAUGGGAGAUCGAAGUCACCUGCACAAGAACUUCCUUGGAAAGAUUAUCCAGGAGGUAACCAAGUACCUGCUGAUCCUCCCAGAUCCAUAUCGGAUGAAGGGGGUUUGGGAUGAACUCCUCCUUCCCGUCCUUGUCCUUGGUGACGACAGACUUGACUGGCUCCUUCAUGGUGCCGUCAUCGUAGCCAUAGAACCCCGCACCUGUGAGCUCGGUGUAAUUUGUGUGCCCAGAGGGUAUAGUUAGUGCGGGUGAGCAUUUUGAUGAUUUGGCUGGAGAGGCCGGGGUUGGAGGUGCUGGAGGAGGCCAUGGCGGAAGCUUAGGCGACAGGAGAUGGAAAACUAGAUGUGAUGAAAGAGGUGGCUCUGAUUACCAUGUGAUAAAAGGCUAGGAACGUCGUACCCUCUCAGGCCGACGGCUUCGAUUUUAUAUAACAGAGUUGCGACUUCCCUGAUAGCGUACAAGUAGUUGGGAUUACAAUCUUGUUAAACAAGAGAUAGACUAGGGAGAAAUAUAUUUAAGUUAUAUGGAUAGAGAUAAACCCCAACAAUAUCUCCUAAUCUAACUUGCGGUACAAGACUAGCUCCAACUGCCAUAGGAUGGUGUACGAUAGGUUACGUUUAACAGCACUAACAAUCGGUAUGGUGUUGGUCCGUUAGAAUACUGAAUUACCAGUUAUGGUUUAGUCUGACACCUCGACUGCCCUGUUGUGUCUCUACGGAUCGAGCUUGGAUCGUUGGGUUUAUGGUCAUUUAGUUGCUGACAUUAACUCUUUAAUGAUUGGUAGGGAGUUUAUUUCCCAAAAACUUUAUAGGAUUUAAAAUAGAGUUGCAAAUUGCCUCACAAAGUAUACUUGCUUUGAACGUGGACAGAGGACCUCCAUGUAUUGAUGAUCUCUUUCCUCUCAAUUGUAACUCUAUUAUCACUAGUAAAUGUGUAACUUUGUUAAUGUUAGAGAGGAAAUUAAUUGCUCGUUGACAUAAGGUUGGAUAUUAAUUGCGUCUUAAUUAUGUGAUUAGCAUAUAUGUUAAUAUUAGAUAUGUUACAAAUUGCAUGUUAAAUGCUUACCAUUGAAGCAAUAGAUUUUUGGAUUAACAAGAUUUGAUGAUCGAGAUCAAUUAGAUCUACCCCUUUGAGUCUAUUGAACGAGUAAUAAAAAUAUUGAACCUUUAUCCGGUAAAAGAAUAAUUAGUGUCGCACCCAAUAAGUUUGAAUAUUGAUCCAUACCAACAUUGCCCAUAGUAUGUUAGAUGCUUCGGACCGAAGAUUGAAGAAACAAACAAGUGCAUCACAACAUCUACAGCUGGAUCCCCCCAUAUCCUUCUCAAACGUCCAGGUAGACCGUUCAAUCACAAAAAAGUGACCUAGACGGGCCUUUCAAAUCGGCCUCAAACGCCUGGAUUGACCGGAACCCUUCAAACCCGUCCCAAAUAUGAGGACGAUAUGAGGCUGCACGGUCACACCCGGGCACGUCCGGGCACCCUCGUCCACGUCAAAGUUAUCUCAGGCUGUCCCACACGUAGUCACACACCGGAGCUCUUGUCCGUGAUGACCGAGCUGAGAAGUCGUAAUUUUGCCCGUUGGGGCGUCGUAACUUUCCGUCUGUGGCCGAGGCAUUAUAAUUUUGUGUGACGGGCGUCGUAAUUUUGCAUCGGUCACCGGGGCGUCGUAAUUUUACUUGUGGGAGAACGUAAUUUUAUGUCGGUUGCGGGACAUUGUAAUUUUGCGUGACGGGACGUUGUAAUUUGGCGUUGACCGUGGAGCGUUGUAAUUUUACGUGCCUGGGCGUCAUAAUUUUGUAUCUGUCGUCGAAAUGUCGUAAUUUUACAUGCUAAUAUGUAUGCUAGGAACCAGAUAUAAGAUACACGAACGUGGAUAACAAGAUUUGAAAAAGUUUUUGGUCAGUGUCCGCUACCAUGCGUGAGGCUGGUCAUAAUGGGAAUAACUUAGGUAGUAUCACAUACUUGGGACUAACAAACAUGUUGAUGUGACAAAUAAUUAAAAAAAGUUAAAGUAACAUAGAUAGAUACCGUAAUAUGUUAAAUGAUACAGUAUGCUACUAUGUGUCGAGAUCGUCUAUGAUACUAGUCUAUAAUACUACCUUUAAAAUAAUAUUAUACAAUAGUAUCAUAUAAUAGUAUCAUAUGCAUGAUAAUAUUAUAUGAUACUCUUUAGUAUGACCAGUGUCAGGGCUCUGCCUCUCCGGUCACCCUCCCGGCGCCACCAACCCCCGUCGCGCUCGAUGGACGCGCACCAACCAGUUCCAGUUUUGCCCACGUCGACUGAGUACAGCUGCCACGAAGAAGCCAUCGCUGCGCGUCUCUACGUAGCCACCAGCCCACCACCCGCUCCACCAAUCCAGUGGUCAACCCGGCUGUCCAGUUCUACACCAACCCAUUCUCACACCUACUACCUCCUCAGCCGCGGUGCGCUCCUAUUUAAUCCCUCCCCUCCCUCCAUUCCCCUCCAAGAANGCUUCAUCUGCAGCUACAGCUCCUCUUCAACACAAGUCUUUCUUCAAGACACAGAUCAAUCCAGAUACACAUACACCUGCCGACGUCUAGCUAGUCUACUUUCAGAAUCCAGACACAUACACCAGCUAGUUCACCUGUUUAGAACUACUUCUCUGCAUAUCUCGAUGGAGUGCGAGAACGCACACGUUGCCGCCAACGGCGAUGGCCUGUGCGUGGCACAGCCGGCGCGGGCCGACCCCCUCAACUGGGGCAAGGCGGCGGAGGAGCUUUCCGGGAGCCAUUUGGAUGCCGUGAAGCGGAUGGUGGAGGAGUACCGUAAGCCGGUGGUGACCAUGGAGGGCGCCAGCCUGACCAUCGCCAUGGUCGCCGCGGUGGCUGCCGGCAACGACACCAGGGUGGAGCUCGAUGAGUCCGCUCGCGGCCGUGUCAAGGAGAGCAGCGACUGGGUCAUGAACAGCAUGAUGAACGGCACCGACAGCUAUGGUGUCACCACCGGCUUCGGCGCCACCUCUCACCGGAGGACCAAGGAGGGCGGCGCUCUGCAGAGAGAGCUCAUCCGGUACGAAUUAAACUUCAGAACCAGUUCUACUUCUUGUUAAGCAUUUCUGUUAGUUAUGUGUACCAGACUAUGAAUUGAGUUAUAGAAGUCUUAUUUUUUCGUGUAUCGGUUGUGUGUUCAGAUUCCUUAACGCCGGAGCCUUCGGCACCGGCACCGAUGGCCACGUUCUGCCUGCCGCGACGACGAGGGCGGCGAUGCUCGUCCGAGUAAAUACCUUGCUGCAGGGAUAUUCAGGCAUUCGCUUUGAGAUCCUGGAGACGAUUGCCACACUUCUCAAUGCCAACGUGACACCAUGCCUGCCGCUCCGGGGCACGAUCACCGCGUCUGGUGACCUCGUACCGCUUUCGUACAUUGCGGGCCUGGUCACCGGCCGCCCAAACUCCGUGGCAACCGCUCCAGAUGGCACGAAGGUUAAUGCCGCCGAGGCAUUUAAGAUCGCCGGCAUCCAGCAUGGCUUCUUCGAGCUGCAGCCCAAGGAAGGCCUUGCCAUGGUGAAUGGCACGGCGGUAGGCUCUGGGCUUGCAUCCAUGGUGCUUUUCGAGGCUAACGUCCUUAGCCUCCUUGCCGAGGUCCUGUCGGCCGUCUUCUGCGAGGUGAUGAAUGGCAAGCCGGAGUACACCGAUCACUUGACCCACAAGCUGAAGCACCACCCUGGACAGAUCGAGGCUGCCGCCAUCAUGGAGCACAUUCUUGAAGGCAGCUCCUACAUGAUGCUAGCAAAGAAGCUCGGUGAGCUUGACCCAUUGAUGAAGCCAAAGCAAGAUAGGUAUGCACUCCGCACAUCGCCUCAGUGGCUUGGCCCUCAGAUUGAGGUCAUCCGUGCUGCCACCAAGUCGAUCGAGCGGGAGAUCAACUCCGUCAAUGACAACCCACUCAUCGACGUUUCUCGUGGCAAGGCUAUCCACGGUGGCAACUUCCAGGGCACACCUAUUGGUGUGUCCAUGGACAACACCAGGCUUGCCAUUGCUGCGAUCGGUAAACUCAUGUUUGCCCAGUUCUCAGAGCUAGUGAAUGACUUCUACAACAACGGUCUGCCAUCCAACCUCUCUGGCGGGCGCAACCCAAGUUUGGACUAUGGCUUCAAGGGUGCUGAGAUUGCCAUGGCGUCAUACUGUUCCGAGCUUCAGUUCCUGGGCAACCCUGUGACCAACCAUGUCCAGAGCGCAGAGCAGCACAACCAAGAUGUCAAC